rnacentral:lncRNA from 1 species
CUAAAUACAACAAGUCAUCUCCCUUGAGGCAACCCUCUCCCUUCUGUCUCUCCCGUUCUUCCUCGUUCGUAGUUUCGGAGGCGCUUGGCGAAGCCCUGCUGACACUGCUCCACCACCAUCUCCAUCAUGCCAUCGUGUUGGUAGAGAACCCAUCCACUUCUUCGCCCUUGCUAGCUGGAUCAAGGAGGCGGAGACGUCAUCGAGCCGCACAUGUGCUGAACGCGAAGGUGUCGUCCGUUCGGNNNNNNNNNNNNNNNNNNNNNNNNNNNNNNNNNNNNNNNNNNNNNNNNNNNNNNNNNNNNNNNNNNNNNNNNNNNNNNNNNNNNNNNNNNNNNNNNNNNNNNNNNNNNNNNNNNNNNNNNNNNNNNNNNNNNNNNNNNNNNNNNNNNNNNNNNNNNNNNNNNNNNNNNNNNNNNNNNNNNNNNNNNNNNNNNNNNNNNNNNNNNNNNNNNNNNNNNNNNNNNNNNNNNNNNNNNNNNNNNNNNNNNNNNNNNNNNNNNNNNNNNNNNNNNNNNNNNNNNNNNNNNNNNNNNNNNNNNNNNNNNNNNNNNNNNNNNNNNUUGUUUCCCAUGCGACGUUCCCCAAGAGGCACACAUGGAGAAGCACUUUGUAUGUACACGCGAAAAGUAUCGGGCAGAGCACCUUAAGGAGUCAAUGUUAGCUUGGGUCAAAAGUGUUCCAAUGUCUCAUUGUUCUCUCCCAGCGAUUGAGAAGAUUGCAGAGAGGUGGUUCACUGACCUUGAAGUGUGCAUCCUUGUGGAGGCAAUCCGAGAUGAGAGGAUGAGGAUCUGGCUAGGUAUGUGUCCAACCACCAUACCCACAGCCACUGAGGUUGCGCAAUAGGCUCUUCAAGAGGCCAAAUCUCCAAUUCAAGAGCAAGUGGCCCGUUGGUCCCCGUUCUUUCCGUCAAGUACUAAUUCAUGUAGUAUGUGCAGCUUCUACUAACGGUGUGCGUGUUGAACAUUGGCCGACACUCAUUUCACUUAUAUAAAUUCUUAUUAAUUAUUGUAAUACACUUUUAUAUCUUAUGACUACUACUUUCCAUUAACCUGCAUUGUAAUGUGGUGUGUGUAUGUGGAUCAAGGUUUAAAUUAGAAUUUAUGUAUCAAAUGCAAUAUGAUGAUAUGGUCGAGGUGCAAACAACAAUAGUAGUGGCGAGUGGCUGAGAAUGACCGCCACAGAAGCGCGCACAUCCUAUGGCACCCAACACCUUGUGCUGUGGCGGGCAAGACCUACGGCCCGCCAUUGCUCUAACAAUGGCGGGCUCGCGCCCUCCACUAAUAGCGUUCUACAAGUGGCAGGAGGUCAGUGGCGGGCGGCCCUCGGAGCCUUGCGUGCCACUGCUGAGAUUUCCCCACCCGACGCUGCUAGGCNNNNNNNNNNNNNNNNNNNNNNNNNNNNNNNNNNNNNNNNNNNNNNNNNNNNNNNNNNNNNNNNNNNNNNNNNNNNNNNNNNNNNNNNNNNNNNNNNNNNNNNNNNNNNNNNNNNNNNNNNNNNNNNNNNNNNNNNNNNNNNNNNNNNNNNNNNNNNNNNNNNAUUCCUGCAGUAGUGGGGCACCUUAAAUGGGCCUCAAACACCCACGCUGACCGACACCCCUCAUAUUCAGCCCAAAUAUGAGGCAGAUAUGGGGGUGCUCGGGUAUGCCGCGAGGGCGUCCGCCGCAUCGGCCUGGCCCACGCUGGCUCGUAGCGGCCCCACAUAUAUUCAUCCACAUCCGCUCGUUAGAUCAUACCCUAGCCACUUCACACUUCAUUCCACUUCACUCCUUCAGCCACACAAGCUCCCCUCCGGCGAUUUCCGGCCAUCCCCGGCAUGGUGAGCAACGGAUCCAAGUCCUUCACCUCUGGAGGCCCUUGCACGAGAGCGCGCAGACUCCUUUCAUCAGGAAUCCAUUGUGUUCACCCAAAUGGCUCAUGGACCCAAUGUUAGGUGUGAUGUUGCUGCAUCAACGGAGAUGGUGCGGUUCGUCUAGCGUCCGAACACGGUGGCGAAAGCGCAACCACUCCAUAUACGCUCCGAGCAGCGGGACACACCAUGGGCAUCGUUCGACGAAAACAUGGCGCGGUGUGCCCGCUGUGCGAGGCAGCGGGCGCGAGAGGCGACGGAGGCCCUUGCGAUGGUGAAUAGUGCACAAGCGGAGUCGCACUCUCCGGUGCCCCGUAUGGUGAACCAUUGCGGGCGCCGCAACCACGUCAUGGUGGAUGUCGGCUCUUCCCAAGAGAGAUCCGUCAUCGAUCUCACGACCACCAGCACCGUCUGGGUUACUGAUUCCGACGAGGAAGAGUAAGGCAUGAGAGACGGCGAGAUCUCGACUCCCGUAAGCCGACUAGUGUCCCAUAUCCAACUCGACCUCGUCGACGACCGGACCAGCACUACAAGGGGCGACAUCCUAAGAUCUUGUUGGAGGUACUAUUUUGAGAGCUCGGUCUUCUCUAGGGUAAAAACCUAAGAUCUUAGAUCGGGCGACGGUGGCGCUUGUGCACUGUUUUCUUCUUGAAGGCGUCGCUUUUAGGGACCUCUUAUGUAGUUCGAGUGUUAUCUUUGGUGUUGGUUUGAAUGCUAUUGUUUGAGAGGAAUUGAUUACUCUUGGGAGGCCUUUGUUCUUGUUUUCCUUUCUUUUUUGUUUACUUUUCUGGUUGUGUGCAUUUUAGAUGUAUUUGUGAUAUCUUAUUAGUGCAGAAACUCGAUGUAAUUCAUAUCUUUGCAAUAUUAAUAUAUUUCCUUUUAAAAAAAUAAAAGGCGUGGCCAGUCGUCGGACAUGAACACGACAAAACUGAACAAGCUCUGUUUAAACGUCAUUUUAUGCCGUAUGAAGUAUUAUUUAUGACUUGACCGGUUAGUGAGUGUGACCGGUCUCGAAAUGUUCACAUGAUCGGAUUUGACAAGUCUGACUUUAUAUGCUCUAAUGUACUGCGUGUGUCUCGGGUUAGACUAAUGUCGUGUUUGUUUCAGAAGUCCUGGGACUUUUUUUAGUCUCAACUUAAAAGUCCUUAGUCCCUACCCGUUUGUUUCCACUGACUAAAUAGGGACUAGAUGUCAUUAAAUGACAUGCAAAAAGACCAUGUUAUCCUUAGUAAUGUAGUAGUAGUUAUUAAAUGACAUGCUAAAAGUAGGGGCAUUGUUGGAAAAAGUGCCAAAAAAGUCUAAAAAAACUCUUCCAUAGGGACUUCUCCAAAUAGUCCCAAAUACCCCCUUUUAGUCCCUAAAAGUCCCUCCUGUUUGUUUCACAUGAGACUUUUAAAAGAAAUUUAGUCCCUACACCAAAAAAUCCGUGGAAACAAACAACCCUGAAAAAUUACACUCCAUGUCACAAGAUCUACCGGGUCGAUCGUGUGUAUACAUAAUAAUAUAAAUACGUAUGGGAGCCAUUGAAUUCUUCCAGGAUAAGAAAUGAAACAACGCAAUGCGGAUGUGGCUAUAGCUAUAGUAGCUGGUCCGCCAAGUAUCUCGUGAUAGAUCCACAGCAAGAGUUAAUUGGAUCUGGUUCCGUACGGAAGGCUCAAGGCGGCCUGGUAAACUUUGUGUGGCAGUGGGUCAAAGUAAUUAACCAUAUGGACAGGAACUGACCAUCGACCGCCGCACUGACCCGGUUCAGGCUCGCCGUAGGCACACCGGCCAUGUGCUCUUUGACCGUCCAUCCAUCACCAGCAACAUGCAGUUUUCACGUCAUUAUAACCAAACUUUACAGCUACUACUCCUUCUAUCUCAUAAUAUAAAAACAUUUUUAACAUUACAUCAGUGUCAAAAACGUAGAUUUUCUUUUUGUAAAAAAAGUUUUCAUUCAAUCAAGGUGGUUCAGUAAAAUUCUCUUAGCACUGUUUGCUCGUCUCAUCUGGUACAUGGCGAAGCCAGAGAGCGGUGCGAGUAUAACAUCUGCCUAUGAGCCCAUCUGGGCCACUGCAUGAGCUACCUUAUUUUGCCCCCUUCUCACCAUACGUGGCCAAACGGGCCGGUCCGGCAUGGCCCAUCAAGGCAUGUUUAUUAAAUAGCCGUGUCUUGCCGGUCCACGUGCCCGGGAUCCAGGCCCAAGCACGACACAGGGGCUAUACGAGCCGGCCCGUCGGCACGUCAGGCCCGCUGGCCUGCUAGAAUUUUAGUAUUUUAGGUCGUUAUUUGGGUUGAUUUUGGUUUGUUCGGUUAUUAUUUGAGUUGAUUUUGACAUACUGGGCUGUUUUGUGGGUUGAUUUUGACCUAUGAGGCUCUUUAUCUUAUAUAUAUAUAUAUAUAUAAAAUAAAAAUGAAAAACGGAUCGUGCCGUGCUGGCCCGCAUGCCCAGCCUCUAGGUCCAGGCACGGCCCGAGGCGUGCUUCGUGCCGGGUCCGAGCACGAUUAGCCCGUGUCAUGCCACGCACGCGGGCUAUCAGGCCGGCCCGGUUACACGGUCCGUUUGCCCAGAUCUGCUUCUCACAUGCGAUAAGGAGUAGUCACGUCAAGUCACGUCAAAAAGGGCUCGUGAAUUAUAACGUAAGUAAAAAAGAUAAUCUUCAAUGGCAAUGAGAAUAUUUUGUUGCAUCGUCAAGACACACUAUCGGUCUCAAUUUCAUGAAAUCAUUAUCAUUUUUUAAACUCGUGCACAUAUUUUAAAUCGUGAACAUCUUUCAAAUUCGUGAAAACUUAUGUAAAUUUACGAACCUUUUUUUUAAAUUAAGAAGAUUUUUGAAUUCAUGAAUAUUUUAUACUAUAUGCAAACAUCUUUUAAAAUGUGAAUUUUUUAAACAAGUUUCUCGAAUCAAAAAACAAUUUUUUGGAAAUUCAUGCAACAAAUUUUGAAAUUUACGACCACAUUUUUUAAUUAGCGAACAUUCUUUUAAUUUAAGUUUUUUUGGAAUGCAUGAUCAUUUUGUGAAUCAGCAAACAUUUUGUGAAUGGAUAAACUAUUUUGUAUGUCAGUAGCAGGUUUUGAAUUUUUAGGCUAUUAUCCCAUUCAUCAAUAAAUUUUUCAUUGGCAAAAUUUUGUUCAAUUUCCUUAACAUUUUCUAAUACACUAAAUUUUUAAAAAUAAUGAUUGUUUUCUUUCCUGAACAUUUGUUUUCAAUAUUUCAAAUAUUUUUGAAAAAGCAAACUUUUUUGUAUCCACGAACAUUUUAUGAUUUAUGAAACAUUUCAAUUUUUAAUUUUACUUUUUUUUUGUUUUCAGAAAUUUUGUUAAGUCCCAAAUUAUAUAAAUUAGAACAAAGCAAAAACAGGAAACAAAAGGGAAAAAUGUAGAUGAAAAUUUAAAACAGGUCGCGCGGAUAUGGACAGGCCCAAAUGGGUGCGCGACGUCUUCUCCCAGCGCGUAGAGCGCAUUAUAGGAUGUCCCUACUACAUGGGCCGGCCCAGGCGGAGUAUUCCCCUGUGUGAAACGUUUUUUAUCACUUAUAACAGACAUUGGUGAGUAAUAUUUUGCAACUUUAAGGGCAAUUUUCAUGAUGUACCGUGAAAAGCAGUAACCCCUUUGGCUCAAAAAAAUAAGCAAUAACCCCUUUAUUAUUAGGUAUAAAUAACUAAAUAUGAAAAGUUUUUACAAUUUUGGCUCAGUUUAAACUAGUCAUAAUGAGAAUAAUAUAGGAAGUAGAAAACGCUUAGAGCAAGGCCAACGCUAUGAAGCGGACAGCUGCCCAAACAGUCCAUGUCAACUCAUGAGGUCCGAAACUGUAACGAUUAAGAUGUGGUCCUUUCCGAUUUAGGGAACGAUGCCCCAAAAUGGAAAGAAACGCAUCUAAGCGUUUCGCAAGCACGGUAACAUAGCACAUACAUAAUAAUAGAAUGACAAAUAGGGAAUCAUCUACCAUCUGAUAGAUAAUAUCUGAGUUUACAUCACACAUUUAUUCAGACAAGGUAGUUCCGCUACGGACUACAUAUCAUGAGAAAAGGCUAUGCUACCCUGCAUGCUUGCCCACGAUCACGACCACGCCUCAGUCUUCUGGAUAGUUCACGUACAGGCGGUCGUUCUCCUCAUCGUACUGCCACGCCAGCUGCGUGCCAUCGGGAUCACCUGUGUCGGGUGUACAUGUACCUGUUGGGGUGUUGAAGUAAUCUAUGAGCCACAGGGACUCAGCAAUCUAUGACCUCGAUGCCAGAACUAGUCAAGUUAUUAGGUAAGGAAGGUUCAGUGUUUAGGUUACAGCAUCCUAAGCUUUAUGGUGGCUAACUUACAUAGAACAAGUUAUUGAUGGUGGUCUAUACUAGCGGGAAAAUACUAGCUGAUCAAUAAGUGAUCCUGAACACCUACUUACGUCAAACAUAACCCCACCGUGUUCCCGAUCGAAGAGAGGUCUUCGAAGGUGACAGUCACGGUUACGCACACGGUUGACAAUUUUAUUAGAUUAAGUUCAGGUUAUCUAUAACCGGAUGUUAACAUAUGUUCCAAGUUGCCACAUAACUGCGGGCACGGCCUUUCGAAAGAUUAAACCCUGCAGGGGUGCUCCAACUAGUCCAUCACAAACGGUCACGGGCCGCAAAGUAAUCCUCUAUGACGAAUCUCGUGAUCUCGUCGGAUUACUUAGAGGAAAACCUCAACUCUGGGGAGAAGCAAAGCUUCACCGGGAUUCCUAUACGCAAGAUAUAUCGCUAAGGUAAGACAAGACUAGCAGGACCUCCCGUCGUGUCGACGACCCCGAGAAGAGCCGCGUAUCUCAGUCUCAGGAUAUGAUGGAUGAGCUAGACGUCGGGAUGGCUAAACCUCUGGGUGACCAGGGGGGCCCCGGACAUCGCUCAGGUGGGACCAACACUCAUGAGGAGCACUGGCCCGGGUUGUUAAUUAAUUCCUCGGGGUAGCUAUUCCCUAUGCAGAUUAUUAUUAGGUGAUUAGCAGAUUAAAACCAAUGUUGGGUCCUGCCGGACAAGUCUUAAUACUACACGAUUUAUCAAGGGGGUCCCCAUAACAACCCCUAAUGUGUUAGGAGCGAUCAGUUAUGGAAUCAAACACCGGUAGCCGGAAACUAUGGCGGCAAUAACGGAACAAAACACCCGGCAAAAGGCUAGGCCUUUUGUUAUUAACCAAGUAUAUAGGUGCAUUAAUUAAAUAACAGAUUUAACAUAAUGAUAUCAAACUCAUGUUAUCACAUGAGACAAUGCACCUGCAACUAGCAACGCUAACAUUAGAAUCUGAGCAAAGCCUACUUAGCCAUUCAAUAUUUGCUAGGUGGGGAAAAGUAUUUGGGUUUCAUGGCAAUAUCAGGAGGAAAUUAUUUCAGUGGUAGGCAGCGAGCAUAUGACGAAGGAAACGUGAAUCUAGCAUAACAAGUCUAGAGAUGGACUCAAGGUCAUAUCAUAUUUCCUGUGAUGUCUUCAGCUCGGAACUGCUCUUGUUCGUCCUGCACAUACUCUCCCGGAUCCACGUAAUCGCUCUCCGAUCCUGGUGCUACCCAACAUAAAAAUAGCAUCCAAUGAACAACAGCACAACAAGAUGCAACAAACACAUGAUGCAUGAGAUGAGAAUGAACAUGCAUCUCUCAUUCUAGUCACUAGCACAUGCAUGAGAAGAAACUACAACUUAUGGACAGAAAUGCACUCUAAGCUAUCUUGACAUGCAUGAAGAUGAUAUGAACAGAUGCAUCAUGCGAAAACGAUGCAAAAACAUAUAAAGAACGUUACAAACAGAGCUACGGAUCAACCGGAAACUACGAAACAAGAAAUGGAGCCUUACAGAUCAAAUCCAUCACAACGCACUCCAAUGGCAUACUUCUGGUAUUCCCAGGUUUCCAAACCACAAAAAAAAACAAGUAUGGAUGGGUUGGUGCAAGGAAUAUCACCACACCAUCAGCUAUGCACUCACAAGCAUCAAAACAUCAAAACUAUACAUUCUGUCCUAAACAACAUCAUAGCAGUUUGAGAGCUACAUGCAAAGCACCUACAGCCACCAAAAUGUGCCAAAUAAGAUGUUUGGCAGAAGCUAUUCAAAAUCUCUACAAGCAUGAGCAAAAAUAUAAUACAAAGGAGUUUCACACAGAAAGUUCUACAGCUGCUAACUUGGACAAAAAUAUCAGUUUUGAGGGACUUAGUGAAAAUCUCAGAUUCUCACUAGUUGUUUAUGCUCUGAAGAAUUUUGACAACACCCAAAACAAUAUAUACAGGAAGCCAAAUGGAAUGAAAAUUGACAGAGAGCUAGACAAACACAAAAGCUGCAACUUUCGAGUUGAUUACAGGGGCUGAUUCCACCCACAUGAACUUUUGGAGGCACAAAUACAAUGGAAGAAAAUAACAGCAGUUUCUCAGACUUAGUGAAGCUGAAAUUUUCAGCCACAUGCCUACUUUGACUAAGCACAACUUGCACAUAUAAACUCCUUAGCAUGAAACAACACCACCAUGCUGUAGAGGGGUUCACCCUCUACUGCCACAACAAGGAAUCAUCCCCUUGGGCUCAUCAUAUCACAUGGAACCAAGCUCUAAACAUUGAAAAAAACAGAAAUGUGACAUUCCCAGAAAGUGUUCCAAAGUGGAAUCUGAUUCCACCAAUGGAUUCCUGGGAUGAUUCCACCCCAAAAACAUAUAUAAUACCUAGGUACUUGCAUAGAACAAAAGAGCACAAAGCUAAGAUGAAAAUCUCCAUGGAAUCACAUAGAGGUAAAUAGUGAUUUAUCACAUGUGACCCCACUAGCUCAUCACCUCACAUGCACUUGCACACACUCACAUACCCAAUGGUGCACAUGAGGGGUAGACCUCAUGUUCAUGAGCCUUAGCACACCACCACACACACACUUACAUCAAGCACAACUAUUCCAACACCUACACAUGCUAGUUAGAACACACACACUAAUUUACACUCACAUCAUGCUUCCUACACCUACACAUACAAGCUUGCCAUAAGUGCUUAUCAAGGGACCUCAUGCCUUGGGCAUGUGUGACACACACACACAUGCACAAGAACACCUACAACUACCACAAGGUAUGGGGGGGGGGAACCCACUCACACAUACUCACUCACACACUUGCACAACCUAGUGCUCAAGAUCAUCACUCAUGCACCUAAGUAACACACCACACAUGCAUCACUAACCUAGUGAAAAACACGCAUGCUAAUACACACACAUACAUAAACUAGCUCACACACACACAUAUGCACACAAAGACUUACACAUGCAUUUCUACACAAGGUAGCAAAACACUAGGGACAACCAACUGGUUGUGAGGUAAAAUAAAAUACCUCACAAGGUGACCAAGCAAGUUGUAGCAUCAAUCUUGCAAGCAAAAGAGAAACUGCAAGGAAAUAAGCAAAAAAUACAAAAGGGUUUGGGGAAUUCGAACCCCAAACCUGCUGGUCACACACACACAAGCAAACCACUCUGCUACUGCUCAUUUGCUCGAUAGAACAGGGAAGACAAGCAGGGUAAAGUUGCCCUGCUGCUGCUGAUGCUACUGUGCCAAAUAAAAAUACAAAAGGGAUGGUGCACUGCAGGACUCGGACAGAGCACCACCUGAUCAACACACCCACGGCAAACCACUGGGCUACGAACACGGACUCGACAGAACAAAGGGAUCCUACUAGGUAACACAAACAAGGUCGCCCUGCUCUGCUCUGCACACAGACACCGACAACAACACUCGCCGGAGCGCCCUCCUACUUCUACUGCUGCGCCAGAGGGAAUUAUCUACGGCUACCAUCCUAACACGUUGGAAGCAACUGCCCUGAGCACCGGGACGAGCCCGAGCACACACACACACACAAAUCCACACAUGAUCUGCCGAACACAUCUCCGAUCAAAGAGGCACGGCCACGAGCUCCUACGCUGCAUCUAAGAGGGGGGAAGGGAGGAAGGAGUGAGGCUCACCGAGGGGAAGGAGUGGAGAGGGCCGAUCGGAGGAAGGAGCCUGAAGGUGAACUGACGACGACCUGAUGCAAAAUCGAAGCAGGGGGUACGGUCCGCCGAGAACACGCCGGAGACGAGGUCAUGCCCGUCGAUGUGGUCGCGCCCCGACCUCAACGACGAUGGGAAUGGAACGCGGGGGCUUUCCCCGAGCUCCCGGACAUGCUUGCCGGUGCCGGAGGCGAUGGACGCACGGUGGACGACGGCGGCGCGGUAUUGCUCUCUCUCUGCUACCCUCUACAGAUCUUACCUUGGGGGAGGAGGAGAGAGAUGGAGGGGAAGGUGACAACGCUAGGAGAGGGACGCGGAACCCUAGGCAAUAGGGCACACACACCGAGAAUAUAUGGCCGCGGAUGGGACGCACGCCAUCAACUCCUUCGCUCUCUCUUUGAUGCUUCUGACGGAAAGCAUACGCGGGGACGACACCGUCAGGAGAAAGAAGAUGGAGCGUGCUUGGGAUCUCGCUGGGGAAACACAGAGAGAGAUGGGCCUCGGGAGGGGGAAAGAGGCCCAUGCUGGCGACAGGUAAGGGAGAAAAUACCCCUGGGAUUUUCUAUUUAAAAACUACACCAGCAAAUAAAUAAUCUCCCAGGGAAAACUAUGGCACCAAAAAAAUAAAAUAAAAAUGCCCCUGGUCAUAAGAAAUUAUGACCUAUUUGAAUAAAAAGAAAAAGGAAUUUUUGGAGCAUGUAAAUAUUUACAAAAUAGAAUUAAUGGAUUUGUUUUGUGAAUAUUUGCACCACUAAAACAUAGUUUCAAAACACUAAAUGCAUAGCAUCACAUCCACCACAAAUCAUACUAAAUCAUGGGUAUUUUUAAAACAGGGAAGGAGCAAGUGAAUCUUGAGCUUGAGAUAAAUAGAGAGGAAGAAGUUUGAAUCCUAUUUGAAAACAUACAAGUGCACCCCACUCAUCACACAUCACAUGCCAACACACAUCACCACACCUCACAUCAUGGAUCCACAAAACAACAACACACAACAAUAGCAUGGAAUGACAUGGAAUGACAUGGAUGCAUGCAUGCAAAGGGAAACAAGAAAUGAGCACAUGAAAUACUACAUAGAAUAUACUCUCAUUGCAAUGACAAGAUGGACCCACAUACAGAAGGUUCCAAAUAUGGCAAGUUACACUCUUGGGGCAUUACAAAAAUGCUUCACGUGCUACGUGCAAAGACUAUAUAAGUAUAACAACUAGUUCACAUGACACAUCAACUACUUAUUAAGUAAAAGAAAUAGCCUCGGAACAUUAAGAUCCAACUACUUGUUAAGUAAAAUAAGUAGCCCAAGGGAUCUUCUGUUAGAACAAAAUAGCAGGUGAAUACAACUUGCAAGUAAGAUCAAAUUACAUAUAUAUUCAUGAAAAUACAUAUGAUUCAAAUAUGAAAUCAUGCCACUUAGGCCCUAGUGUCAAGCAUUAAGCAUAGAAAAGUCAUUACAACAUCAAUCUCAGAACAUAUAAGCUACUAGGCACCAAACCCUAACAACGACAUCUAUUACGUAAGGUACAUAUAAUAUAAAACAGGGGUAGUAUCGGGUACUAGCAGUGGUGGAGCUUCUACAUUGCUGGGGGGUUGUGCCCCCCCCCCCAAAGAUUAGCACAUGCAAGCUUACAAAUAUUAGGGAAAAAUAUGGAUUGUGAAAUUUUGCAUGUUUGCCCCCCCACUAGCCUAUAUAUUUCAUUUGCCCCCCCCCCCAAUGAUCUUGCUCAAUCUCCACCACUGGGUACUAGCCUUCCAAGAGCUUGUUGUAUCGAGUGGUUGCUUUAUAAUAUAAAAUAGGAGGAAACCCUUUAUCAUCAUUAUGCAAGGGAUUUCAUCUAACUAUCAUCCACCUCAUGUGACUACAUAGAAAUUACCCACACAUGAGUGGCAGAUCAUGGAAUUAAGAUGGAGAAGGAGUUGGUGAUGUUUUGACGAAGACCCCUCCCCUCUUCGAAGUCUAGACGAUCCUCUAGAAAAGCUCUUCAUUAGAAUAUCAUACAUGGUGGUGGCGGCUCUGCCUUACAGAAAAAGGUAAAAAUCAAUUUGGACGUUUUAGGGCAGGGAGGUCCUUACACGCGAAAGAAGGAUGGGAGGUGACACCUCUGGGACCCACGUACCCCUCCCACCAUCACUGCCUCCCAUGACCAAGUCUUGUGCCGCAUGGGGGUUAUGGGCACCCCCUUGGUUGUCCCUGUAUGCUUCGUCAUUUUUUUAGGGGACAUCUCCUCCAUGAAAACAUUACCUUUGUAAAUACUAUUGAAAACUAUGUCAGUCCGAUUAGUUUUUACGAAAAUAUGCAAGUUGAAGGGAAAACAUAGAAAAAAUGUUUGAAAAAAUAGAUACACUUGACAAUAUCAAAUAUGUGGUGAGAAGUCCCUGGUUUGUGAGAAAAGAAAUCUUAUCAGUGUCGGAAAUCACGCUCCUUAACACGACCAUGGUCCUUAUCGGGAUGCAUAAAGAAGUACUAAGUUUUAACCAAUGAUGAGACCAAAACCAAAUCCAAUACAUAGUUAUGGCAUCAUCAUGCCCAAACCAAAUUGUGACAUAGCACUACAUCACAAGAUCCUCAAUAUACAAACGGUUAAAUACCAUAAAUGGAAUGAUCCCCUUGUCCACAAAUGGUUGGGAAACUCCUUGCUACAAGUGUGAAUUGAGGAGCACAUGCUCCACAUUCACAUCCUUGUGGGGAGCCAACUUAUACUUAUUCUAAAUAUAUUUAUUAUAAAAAUCAGUUAAUAUACAUAUUUGAAAAAUGUUAAUCACGCUUUUCAAAAAAAAAUAAACGUCUAUAGAAUAAUAUUUCUAAUGUGUAUGAAAAUAUUAUGAUGUGUAUGAAAAUAAGUAGACAUCAUAACACACAAAUACAAACACACACACACACACAUAUACUAGUCCAAUGGUCGUGCGUUGCCACGGGCUAGCAAAGUAUAUGUAGAACAAGAAAUAUGCUAAUAAAAACGUAUAUAAAAAGAUAAAUGUUAUGUGAUAUGGGAGUCAUAGACAAUUGACAUGUCAUGAUAUUUCAUGCUUUUGUUGUGGUAGAUAAAUGCAUCUCCUCGUCAUCUUUCUCAUUUCCUCCCUUCCUCACAAUCCUUUCUUCUUCGCAUGUUUCUCAGGGGGCAAAACAUAGUAAUUAAUAUGAAUAGUCAUUAAAAUAUCAAAUCAUUACAACUAGCAAUCUAUCCUCCACUUCAAAAUUAACAUCUAUGAUUAUCAUACAUACUGGAAAAAAACAAUUGUGAUGUUGCUAUCAAGAUAACAUUUUGGAAGAACAUUUUCAAAGAUCAGUAUUAAUGGAUCAGGCAUUGAAAAAACCGGUUUUGUUAGUGUAAAGCACAACAAAUGACAUGGCACACACAUUAAUCUAUGUAGGACUGUUACAUUAACCAGACAAUUUGUUCAGCGCAUGGUAACUAUAUAAAUAGUGCAGAUAUCAUUCAUGUUGAUAGAAAUUGGCAAUGCUCACAACUACAUACGAAAUUGGGGAGAUACAAUUAUCUAGCAUCUUUCUACUUUUAUACAGCAUCGCAUACCGAGUUUAGAAAGAUUGAACUUCUUAAUAAUGACAUGCCUUCACUUCCAUGCAUGAGUUUUAGUGUCGAUCUCGCCAAUAAAUUUCUCUAAUGCUAGCGACGAAUCUUUCGUUCGAGCUUAUAUAGACCCUCCGCCAUACAUAUCUAGUCAUCUCUACCCACUCGCCUCAUAGGAGGCGGCUGCUUGGAGUGUUGAGCCAGUCAUUGCCGUCUCAACUCACUCCUUUCGUAGGAAUAUUGAGCCAUAUUUUUUCUAGAGUAUUAGGAUUGUAUCAUGAAUUCUGUUCGCUUCUAUCAACACCUCAAGACACAAAGCUUUUGUGUUUGGUAAGAAAAUUCAGCAGAUAUGAAGGUAAAAUGAAAUCAUUAAUAUAAUUCCCGAAAAGCUUGAACAACUAUGCAGAUGCGGCAAAUGGGAACAUGUACUUGGAUAGAAUACUAAUAAUUUCUAAUGACUAUUGCUCGAUUUGCUUCCUUCUAAUUAAAAAAUAUAUUAUUAUGUUAAAUACUGGUUUCACGACAAUUAAAAAGGCACCAUACACACAUUUGUCACUAGAACAAAUUGAAGGUAGUCUAAAUGCAGAUUUUGCAAAGUCCUUGUUUGGCCAUGAUUGACACCACCAGUGAGUUGAAAUAUGCAUAUAACUUAUUUCUCAUUGUACUUGUAUAGGAUUGAAAGUAUGUCUAGAGGGGGAUGAUUGGACUAUUUGACAAGAUAAUUUUUUGCUUUCCCAAUUUUACUUGAGAGGCAGCUACGUUAGUUAUAACAAGUCACGUACACCCUACACAUGUAGUUCUAAUAGUAUAGCAGCGGAAAGUAAACAUCCAAGUGUAAAUAGAGGAGUAAGGUAGGGAGAUCAAACACAUGAGGUUGACACGACGAUUUUUGGCAUGGUUCCGAUAGGUGGUGCUAUCGUACGUCCUUGUUAGUGGAGACUUCAACCCAGAGAGGGUAACGGCUAUGAGAGUCCAUGGAGGGCUCCACCCACGGAGGGUCCACAAAGAAGCGGCCUUGUCUAUCCCACCACGGCUUUCGUCCAUGGAGGACUAGCCUUACUCAGGUAGAUCUUCACGAAGUAGGCGAUCUCCUUGUCCUUACAAACAUCUUGGUUCAACUCCACAACACGAAGUAGGAGGCUCCCAAGCGACACCUAACCAAUCUAGGAGGCGCCACCCUCCAAAAGGUAAUAGGUGGGGUAGAUCAAUGAACUCCUUGCUCUUGUGCUUCUAAAGAUAGUCUCCUCAACACAAAUCACUCUCUCAGAGAAUAUGCAUGGGUAGGAGAGGUUGAUUUGGUGGAAAGCAGUUUGGGGAUGCUAGAAAUCAAGUUUCAAAUGAUUGGAUUGGAAUAUCUUGGUCUCAACACAUGAGUAGGUGGUUCUCUCUCAGAAAAUGGAUCUGGAAAUGAAGUGUGUGUUCUGAGUGCUUCUCCCACGGAAUAAAGUGUGUGUUCUGAGUGCUUCUACCAAGAGGCAGCAGCCAAAAUCCAACCGUUACACACAAAAGAGCAAACUCAGUGACACCGAAGUUGGAAACUCGGUGGUACCGACUAGCACUAAAGGUGUGAACUUCCGAAUCUUGGUGAGACCGAUAUAUACAAGUCGGUGGCACCGAAAAGGUGACUAACGGUCAGAUGGCCAAACUCGGUGGCACCGAUACUCAAACUCGGUAAUUCCAAUUUUGUGUAUCUUGGGAACAAAAUGUUGAUCACCCAAACUCGGUAGCACUGAUGCAAUUUCGGUUGCACCAAUUUGGUGUGAAUGGCUAGGGUUAUGUCCGAGGUUCAAACUCGAUGGGUCUGAUGUGGAAAUGUUGGUGACACCGAAUUUGUGAAUGUGGAACUUGAUAGAGUGGAUAUGCGGGAAAAAUGACUGAGUGUUUUGGUGGCUAACUUUGAGCAUUUGAGCAAUCAGUUCAUUUUACUACCUCACCCCCUUUUAAUAGUAUUGGCUUUCCUAUGGAAUCAAAAAGUGAUUUCUCAAAAAUAUACAAUGAAGAGUCUUCUAGCUUGAAGCUUGAGCCAAUAUUAUUCCUUUCUUGCAUCAAGGGGCAUCUCCACAAAAACCUUAAGCCAUAGCAUCUUUUGAACUUUUCUGAAAUAUAAUUGGAAAACACAUUAGUCCAGUGAUGCAUAUGUUGUGAUCAAUUAUCAAAACCACCCUAGGGAGCAAUUGUGCUUUCAAUCUCCCCCUUUUUGGUAAUUGAUGACAACAUAUAGAUCAAAGCUUCGACAAAAGAUAUAAUCAAUGAUUAGCAUCAAUGAUUUGAGAAGUAUGUGAAAAGCAAGAGCUCCCCCUAAAUUUGUGCAUUAUUUAAAAUUUGCGUUUGAAUGCAAAUGCACGAUUGAUUAGGAUCAUGGGUUACUCUUCCAUGUCACAUACAUCUUGAUGGUGCGUAAAAAUAAUAGCAAUUCACAUGAUACCAACAAGAUAAGUGAGUAAUCAUCACAGGGAUAGCUAAGAGAUGAUAUCGUAGCAUCACACAGGAUAAAACUUACGAUCAAUAACACAGAUAGGAUAAAGUCAUAUAACAACCAAAGUUUUUUUAAACCAAAUGGGAGCAAAUAAAGUCAAAAGCUCUCUCUCACACGAAGUCUAUGAUCUAUAGCUUUCUCCCCCUUUGGGAACAAGUUACCAAAAAGUUCAAAAGUAUAGAACUACUCGUCUCUCUGGACAGCUGAUGAUGGAGUCGAUAGAACAGCGUCUGUGAAGUCGCCUGCUGAUGUCCGUGGAGCUCGAGGAGUUGAUACUAGAGGUGCUUGAGGUGGAGUUGGUGUUGAAGGUGCUGAAGCUUGUGCUGAAGAUGUCUGACCUGUCUCCUGAGCUGGAAGAGCAGCUGACCAAGGCCUGGUGCUGAACCUAAUAGUAGUGGGAGGAGGAGACCCAUCCUCUUCAUCAUCAUCAUCUUCAUCUUCAUCCUCUGACGUGGAAUCUCCACAGAGUCAACUUCAUGUUGAAGCUAUCUAACAAUGGUGGUCAACUCAGUUACCUUCACACACAUGUUGUGGAAUUUUAUCUCCACAACUCUCUCAAGACUCUUGUGAUUUUGCAUGAUCUCGUGGAUGUUCUUAUCCAUGCCUUGGACAGUGCUCACUAAAAAUGCCAUUUGCUCACCUGGGGUUCUGAGCUGUGUAACUAGAGGUGGCCUAUUUCUAGCAGCUUCAGCCUCUGCUGCCUGUGUUGUCAUUCUUGCUGCAGCUGAGUUGGGAUCAUUGUCAUCCAUCAUAACCUCGUUAUCUUCAAAUUCAGGCUAAAGAGGUAGAUGGGGACGAUCAAGUAGAUAUGCAUGCUUGCCUAGAUUGGCAUUGAUGAGCAUUUGAAUGUAAGGUGCAUAUCCACAGGAUCUCUUCUGAUCCGCAGCAGUUCUCCGCAUAGUCUCAACUAUCAAGUCCAUCACUCUAAAUCUAGUAUGGGUGUCUAGCAGGUGCAGCAGGUUGAUGGAAUAUCCUCUAAUCAUGUUUUCAUCUCAUGAUUUAGGCAUCAGGGUGUAUCUCAGAAUAGUGUUUCUAGUAUGAAUGACUGCUUGCAGAAAGUACACUCAACCCAUCUUGUGCCUAGCCAAGUACUUUUGUGGAAUUGCCUUGUACAUAUUGGCCAUUGAGUUGUGACUCUGCUUUGAUUCUGCAUACACAUCUACAUCUGAUUUUUCCUGCUCGGGAGCACCAAUGAUAGCAGCCCAUUCAACAAUUAUAGCUUCAUACUUGUGACCAUCAGUCAUCCAAACUAAAGAGUCAUCAUAGAAAUGAAUUGUUGCAUAGAAUUGCAUGAUCAGCUCGUCAUUCCAUGGGGUCAUCUCUUUGCCAACAAACUUUUCAAUGUCCACUAACCUGAAGUUCUCUUGGACAGGGGGAAAGAAAUUCUCAUUUUCCUUGAUAUAUGCCAGUCGACAUACCUCAUAUCACUAACAGCGGGACUCUUGUCAUACAAGUGUCUCAUAAAAAUCUUAUUGUUCCUUGGUGUGAAACCUUGGAUGAACAACAAUUCUUCUUCUGACAGCAUAUGGAUCAUUAGCUCUCCACUUUCUUAGUCUGGCAUCCUUCCUCUUCUUCAUAUCUUCUGCUAUUGGAUGAGCAACAUUGUGAAUUGGAAGGGUUGGUCUAAGCUUCCUGGGAAUUGGUACAUUCUCAUCUUCUUCCUCCUGUGCAGCAUGGGCACUGGAUGUAGGGCCUUUGCUCUUGGCAGCUGUAGGUAUGUCUUUGGUGGUCUUCCUAGAAGCUACAACCUUCUUUGCUUUAGCAGCAGGCUUAGGAGCAGACUUCAUGGCGUCAGCCAUCAACUUCUUCUUUUUGGGAGGAACUAGGAUCUCCUCAGGAGCUUCUUCCUCGGCAGCUUCUGGAUCUUCAUACAUGCAAGUUUUUCUCCCAACAAGAUGAACAAUUCUCUUCCCGGCCUUCUUCACACCAGCCUUCUUGGCAGGUGCAUCCUUGGAAAGUGUUGUGCUCUUCCUGGCAUAUUCAUGUGAUCUCAGAUCAGCAUGGGUAGCAAUUACUUUCCUGACAGCUUUCCUUUGAGCCUUUGAAGGAGCUGAAGUUUCUUCUCGCAUAAAAUAUGAGUCCUCUUCAUUAGAAACUAGCUUAUUCCUUUAUCUGGUGGCUGACUUGGGCAAACCAUGAGAGAUGGGAGAACUUGGGUCUGAAGCAGACUUUUCUGGACUAGUGCGUGAGUCCAUCUCAACACUCUGCUCUGUGAAGUCAUUCUGACUAUCUUCUGAACCAGACAUACGGAUAGACACGCUCGGCAGCAAACAACAAAACCUGUGAAGUGGAUAUAGGAAAGACAGAAUGGAUGAGCAUCACAAAAUUCAGAUUUUUCUGAAAAUUUGAAGUCUGAAACUUAGGGUAUCAUCUUCUGCAGGAUGUAAAUCGGUGGCAUCGAGUUGGCAUUUUCGGAGUCACCGAGAAAGCUUACUCGCUUAACAGAAACUUGGCAGUCAUUUUCGAUGGUACUGAAAAGAGCUGCUCGGUCUCAUCGAGUUGCUUCUCAUGAACCCUAAAACAAGAAUCAGUGGAACCGACUUUACAAACUCUGUCUCACCGAGUUGCAUACUGCGGAAGAUCAGAUCCAAAAUUUCGCACUUCUACUAAUCAAAGGAUUCAUCUGGUGGACAGGAGGUUUGCACACAGUGGUAUGAAGAAUAAAGAUUCCAAUGUGUGAGAAUCGGACGGGGAAACGCAAAGGAGAUCGAACCGUACCCUAGAUCGGUGGUGGCUCGGCUACGGCGACGACGACAGAGUAUAUUGCGUCGACGACGACGAAUCCCAGAGGCGGCGGCGCUCAGGGCGGCAAAGGCGAUGACCUGGGGUCUUGGGGGCAGAUAGGGUUUGGCGAACGAACCAUUUUGAUGAAGUGAAGUCAAAGGAUUCGGUUCACGGAUAUAUAUACUCGUGCACUGUCGGUGUCACCGAGAUGGCAAAAUCGGUGUCACCGAGUACCUCAACUGUCAGUAGGCAGGGAAACUCGAUGUAACCGAGUUGGCAAUUUCGGUGGUACCGAGAUAGAAAAACCUGAUCAACUUUGAAAAAUCGGUGCCGCCAAGUUUGUGGAGUUGGUCACACCGAGUUUUUCAAAGAGGUUUUGAAAGGCAGCCUUUGACGAUACGGAACUCCGAGUGCACCUUCACACAGAGGGAUCGACAAGUGCUUGUUCAAGUUUUGUGAUGAAGCAUGAAUAAAAGUGGAGAUGAGAUAGCAUAGAUAGCUAGAGAAGGGUCCUAGGUAUUCUUGUCCAUCCAAUUGGUAAAAGAUAAAUCAAAAGCCAAAAACAACAAUUGGAUGUCCUUGAAUGAUCAAACACAUGCAAACCAACAUGCUCACACAAUAAGAAUGAUGAAUAAAACACGGUGAACAUGCACAAACAUCCUACCAGCUAUCAAGCACUUGGGCGAUGACAAAGUCAUCUAUAUAUGAGUAUAUUGACAUAGGAUCCAAGUAAGAAUACUUGAUCAUAGGUCAUACUCAUUGUUAAGCACAAGUGGGGUUACCACUUUUACAUAAGCAUUAAUGUGUUCAUAUCCUUAGGAGAUGCUUAUACUCAAGUCUUAGAGUAAAGCUCCCUCUUCAUAUGAUAUCCCCACUAAGAGGGAUCAACUAACAAUGGGUUUUGUUGUAGAAGACUUCGAGUAGGUGAAGUAGUGGUGGAUGCUCAAUGUUGACGAAGAUUAUCUUGAGUUGGGAGCAAUCCUUGUUGUUUUCAUACUCCUUUCACCUACAUGGCUUAGGCCCAAAGCAAAAGGAAAAUAUACAAGAAUAUCUAUGGACAUGGAGUGAAGCACACAUGGGAUAAUGUCCAAAAAUGCAUUAAUUACCUUGUUCCUUGCUUACCUUUGAGGGAAUGUGUGACUCCUUGAACUAAUGCAUAUGGUUGAGGUUGAUUUCAUGUAGUUCUUGCCAAAAUGAAUAAGAGUGAAUUUCAUUGGCAGAGUCACCCCUCAAGAACUUCUAGUUAUUCCUCUUGGGAAUCCACACCAAAUUGAUGGGAAUCCUUGGAGUUGUGGUAGCACUUGUGGAGGUAGAGCUAGCAGUAUCCUUGGGAAUCCACUUGACCUUGGCUUGGGGUUCUUCUUCAAAUAGGUCAAUGUCAUCUUGAAGCUUUCUCUUGCCUUUGUGGUCUUGUGGUAGAAGGCCAUCUUGUGAGCUCAUUCCUUCGGAAGGAGUGGAAUCACACUUCUCUUCUUGGGGAACAAACCUGGGAGUGGGAUAUGGACCUUUUUCCCAAACAUCUCUGUUGACGUUGAAGUAGCCAACACCUUGUUUCUUACGAUGUCCUCCUUGCCUGCGCACAAUUUCCUCAAAUUGCUUACUUCCGGCAAGACUCUUGAAGACACCUCUCUCUAUAAUCCCUUUCAAUAGAUCAUUUUCUUGCUCAAGUGUAACUUGUCUAAGAGAAUCGUUAGUGGAAUCAAUAGAGUUACUAGCAACAACAUUAUUGGAUUUAGCUUUAGCAUUGUUGUUACUAGAUGAAGAAACCUUCUUGCCUUUGUUACUAGUGUUCCUAGGUUUAACUUGUGGAACAAAGUUAUACAAGAGUAAUCGUUUGGCUAGAUAAGAAGAACUCUUCUUCCGAAGAUCACCAUUGAUUGCUUUUAAGAACUCAUGCUCUUGCUCCAAGUUGAGCUUCUCUAAGUGUAGCUUCUCAUGGGUUCUUGCAAGCUCUCUAUGAUCUUCUAGAGUAGUCUCAUGAGCUAACUUAAGAGUUUUUAAUUCCUGAGUUAGUCGUUCAAUUUCUUUCUUAUCAGCAUCAUUCGAUUUCUCUUGACUAGCAUGAUAAAUAGCAAGUUCAUUUUUAGUGCAUUCACUAGUUUUAUCUAGAAGCAAGUCAUCCUCUCCUAACAAAUCAUCCUCAUCACUACUGAAAUCAAGAUACUCAGGAUGUGAUACCUUGGGGCUUUUAGCCAUGAAGCAGUUUCCGACUCCCUCAUUUGGUGAAUCAAAUAAGUCGUGGGAGUUGGUGGAAACAAGCGCAAUACCGGCAACACCUUCAUCUUGACUAUAGUCGGAGUUGGAGUGAUAGCUUCUCUCAGAGUGGUGAUCAGACCCGGAGCCAGAGAACCAUUCACCAACAUGAGCUUGAUGUAUUCUUCUUGAACUGCUCUUGGUGUAUUUGUCCUUCUUCUCUGAUUCCUUGCCUCUCCGUGAGUGUCUUCGUUCAUAGUGAUCUUCUCUACUCCUUCUCUCUCUAUGAGGUGACUCAUCUCUUGAGCUUCGUCUUCGAGGUGACUCUUCUCUUCUUUUGUAGGGAGCCAAGCACUCAUUUGAGUAGUGUCUGGGCUUCCCACAAGUAUAGCAGUUUCGGUCACGACUGAAUGAACGCUUCUCAUCAUGUCUUGAACUUGAGCUUUGAUACGUCUCCAACGUAUCUUUUUUAUUGUUCCAUGCUAUUAUAUUAUCAACUUGGGAGGUCUUAUAUGCCAUUUUAUAUCAUUUUUGGGACUAACCUAUUAACUUAGUGCCUAGUGUCAGUUUCCGUUUUUCCGUGUUUUUGACCUUUUUCAGAAAAGAAUAUUAGACGGAGUCCAAACGGAAUAAAACAUGCGGGAUGAUUUUUUCCAUAACAGAAGAUACCUAGAAGACUUGAGAACCAAGGCAAGGACCGCCACGGGGGGGGCGCCUAGCAGGCUCGUGGCCCCCCUUGCCUCCUUUGCCCUACCUCUUUCGCCUAUAAAUUCCCAAAAAUCCCGAAACCAACAGAGAGAGCCACGAAAAUACUUUUCCGCCGCCGCAAGCUUCUGUCUCCGCGAGAUCCCAUCUGGGGACCGUUCUGGUGCCCUGCCGGAGGGGGAUUCGUACACGGAGGGCUUAUUCAUCAACACCAUUGCCUCUCCGAUGAUGCGUGAGUAGUUCACCACAGACCUUCGGGUCCAUAGCUAGUAGCUAGAUGGCUUCUUCUCUCUCUUAGAUCUUCAAUACAAAGUUCUCCAUGAUCUUCAUGGAGAUCUAUCUGAUGUAACUUUCUUUUGUGGUGUGUUUGUCGAGAUCCAAUGAAUUGUGGAUUUAUGAUCAGAUUAUCUAUAAAUAUUAUUUGAGUCUCCUCUGAUUUUUUAUAUGCAUGAUUUUGUAUCCUUGUAAUUCUCUUCGAGUUAUGGGUUUCGUUUGGCCAACUUGAUCUAUAAUUCUUGCAAUGGGAGAAGUUCUUGGUUUUGGGUUCAUACCGUGCGGUGUCCUCACCUAGUGACAGAAGGGGUAGCGAGGCACGCAUCGUGUUGUUUCCAUAAAGGGUAAAAAGAUGGGGUUUAUAUCAUAUUGCAUGAAUUUAUCCCUCUACAUCAUGUCAUCUUGCUUAAGGCGUUACUCUGUUUGUUAUGAACUUAAUACACUAGAUGCAUGCUGGAUAGCGGUCGAUGUGUGGAGUGAUAGUAGUAGAUGCAGAAAGUAUCGGUCUACUUGUCUCGGACGUGAUGCCUAUAUGUAUGAUCAUUGCCUUAGAUAUCGUCAUGACUUUGUGUGAUUCUAACAAUUGCUCGACAGUAAUUCGUUCACCCACCGUAAUACUUCCUAUCAUGAGAGAAGCCUCCAGUGAACACUAUGGCCCCCGCGUCUAUUUUACACAUUAUAUAUUCAGAUCUACAUACAAAAAUACCAAAAAUACCUUGCUCACUUUUAUUUAUAUUUACCUUUUAUCACUAUCAGAUCUCACCUUGCAAUUAACCGUGAAGGGAUUGACAACCCCUUUAUCGCGUUGGGUGCAAGUUUGUUUGUUUUUGCGCAGCUGCCUUGGUGCCUCAUCUUGAUACUCCUACUGGAUUGAAACCUUGGUUCUCAACUGAGGGAAAUACUUACCUCUACUUUGCUGCAUCACCCUUUCCUGUUCAAGGGAAAAACCAACGCAAGCUCAAGAAGUAGCAAGCUUCUAUCUUUGCCUCUACUCUUGUAGAACUUGUUGAAUUUUCUGACCAUGAGGCUUAUCUCUUCAUCAGUGACAAGAUUGUCUUUUGAAGUAGCGGGAGCAUCACAUGAAGCUUUAUAAGCACCGCUUGACUUGUUGUGCAUCUCAUCUUUGUCCUUGAAUGACAUCUCAUGAGCAACAAUCCUGCCAAUGACUUCAGUUGGUAGGAUUGGUAAUCUCCAAAGAAGUUACCUUGCAGACCAACACGAAUAACACCCCAAACAUGAGGAUUAAAGCCAAGUAUAUGCAUUUUAAUUUUAUGCUUCCAACUAGCAAAAUUAGUGCCAUCGAAGUAAGGACAUCUACGAUGAUAAUUUCUGGCAUUAGAUGCCAUACUCUUCUAGGUUGCUAAACCAAUGAAAUGGAGACCAGGGCUCUGAUACCACUUGUAGGAUCCAAAGUAUGUCUAGAGGGGGUGAUUAGACUACUUGACAAGAUAUUUUUUUGCCUUUUCCCAAUUUUACUUGAGAGGCAGCUAUGGCAGUUAUAACAAGUCAAGUACACCCUACACAUGCAGUUCUAAUAGUAUAGCAGCGGAAAGUAAACAUGCAAGUGUAAAUAGAGGAAUAAGGUAGGGAGAUCAAACACAUGAGGUUGACACAUCGAUUUUUAGCAUGGUUACGAUAGGUGGUGCUAUCAUACGUCCAUGUUAGUGGAGACUUCAACCCACGGAGGGUAAUAGCUACGAGAGUCCACAGAGGGCUCCACCCAUGGAGGGUCCACAAAGAAGUGGCCUUGUCUAUCCCACCACGGCUUCCAUCCACGGAGGACUAGCCUUACUCAUGGUAGAUCUUCACGAAGUAGGCGAUCUCCUUGCCCUUACAAAUAUCUUGGUUCAACUCCACAACACGAAGUAGGAGGCUCCCAAACGACACCUAACCAAUCUAGGAGGCACCACCCUCCAAAAGGUAAUAGAUGGGUAGAUCAAUGAACUCCUUGCUCUUGUGCUUCUAAAGAUAGUCUCCUCAACACAAAUCACUCUCUCAUAGAAUACGCAUGGGUAGGAGAGGUUGAUUUAUUGGAAAGUACUUUGGGGAGGCUAGAGAUCAAGUUUUAAAUGAUUGGAUUGGAAUAUCUUGGUCUCAACACAUGAGUAGGUGGGUUUCUCUCAGAAAAUGGAUCUGGAAAUGAAGUGUGUGUUCUAAGUGCUUCUCCCACGAAUGAGAGGUGGCCAGGUGGGUGAAGGGGUAUAUAUAGGCAGCAGCCAAAAUCCAACCGUUGCACACAAAAGAGCAAACUCGGUGACACCGAAGUUGGAAACUCGGUGGUACCGACUAGCAUUAAAGGUGUGAACUUUUGAAUCUCGGUGAGACCGAUAUAUACAACUCGGUGGCACCGAAAAGGUGACUAAUGGUGAGAUGGCCAAACUCGGUGACACCAAUACUCAAACUCGCAAAUUCCGAUUUUGUGUAUCUUGGCAACAGAAUGUUGGACACCCAAACUCAGUAGCACUGAUGCAGUUUCAGUUGCACUGAUUUGGUGGGAAUGGCUUGGGUUUUAUAUGAGGUUCAAACUCAGUGGGUCCGAUGUGGAAAUUUUGGUGACACCGAAUUUGUGAAUGUGGAACUUGACAGAGUGGAUAUGUGGGAAAAAUGACUCAGUGUUUUGGUUCCUAACUUUGAGCAUUUGACCAAUCAGUUCGUUUUACUACCUCACCCCCUUUUAAUAGUAUUGACUUUCCUACAGACUCAAAAGGUGAUUUUCACAAAUAUAAAAUGAAGAGUCUUCUAGCUUGAAACUUGAGCCAAUAUUAUCCCUUUCUUGCAUCAAGGGGCAUCUUCACAAAAACCUUAAGCCAUAACAUCUUUUGAACUUUUCUGAAAUAUACCUGGCAAACACAUUAGUCCAAUGAUGCAUAUGUUGUGAUCAAUUAUCAAAACCAUCCUAGGGAACAAUUGUGCUUUCAACUUGAACACUAAAAUUGGAAAUAUAAUGUGUUGGGCACCACAAUGCUACAUUUCAUAGGCCAAUAUCUUUGAUAAAAUUUGAGUGAUUGCAUUUUAUAUAUGGAUCAAUUAAUACGUACAUGCAGAAAUCCCUCUCACAAAUUAUUAAAACCCAAAAAGUGAAUAUAUACAUUGAAAAGUAAGUUAUAACUUGGAUUAUCCAACACUAAAUGACAGACAGGGUAAUCUUGUGAUGCUUUUACAUAGAAGGGAGAAGACCUUCAGAUGGUGUACAUGACAAGUGGAUGGUUAUUCCCUUCUUCUUCAUAGCUUCUAACAAAGAAGCCUUAGAGAGAGUUAAAUCGGAGAACCCCACUGGGAAAUUUUAGUCCAAUUUUAGGAGCAAACCCUACUGGCCAGUAAUUAAAAUGGAUAGUGCCUUUAUGAAAAGUACUGGAGAAAUAACUACUAAUUAAUGACAUGAAUCAAGAGUUCAUCAAAACUAUCAACUAUUCAAUCAACAUCCCGGAAAAUAAACAUAUAUCCUAUUCUAGGAAGCAUAUACAGAGUCUUUAGGUUCAUUAGAAAGCCACAAAUCAGCAAUGAAAAUUGUAUAUAGAGAUGGGCAAGAAAGAACAGUGCACAUUUUUUAGAGGCACAAAAGAGAUCCCACCAUGUGUUGAAUGCUUCCGUGUGGAGCUUGCACUAGAGAACAUGACCAACAAUCAACCUCAAUCUUGCUCCGCCACGUAGGACGGGUCGACUACCACCUGAUCUGGAAGCGCCCAUCCUCGACGUUGUCGCCGCUUAGCAGUUGUCCAUGUGCCCAAGUGAUUCAUGAGUCUGUGCUAGUCGUGGCCGAGUGCGUCGGUCAAGGCCGAGGCAUACCAUGCUUGGGCUACAUCGGGCGUCGCCGACGACGGCGAGCGAGGCACGAACUCGUGCGGUGCAUGGGUGGCGUCGACGUUGGGCGCGAAGAGGCAUGUAGCUGUAGCGACGAACUUGGAUGGAUUAUGGCAAGCCGAGGAGGAGACUCGGAGGGACGGCGGGUGUUUAGUCGCUGGCGAUGGUGUAGCGGUGAUUUUGCAUCAGCUUUUCUGCCCUAGCACAUCGUAGGUGCCUAGGAUCGCACAAGGGAAGGAUGUGUUGCCUGGUUUUGCCCUUCCUUUUCUCUUGGGUGAGUAGGAUGUGUAGAUUCUAACAUUGGAGAGAAAAACCAGAGGGAGAUAGGAAAACUGAUGGGGCGUGUGACAGGGUGCCAAUUAGGAGUCGAGAUUAUGUGGUAAUCAAUUUUGAAUCCUAAAUUUCCUAACACAUUGUUUGUCAUUUAAUAAUAGAGAUUUGAUUGUUAGAAAGUAUCCAUGUGUUAGGAAAGUUAGGAUUCAAAAUAGAUUGCCAUAUAAUUGGAUUUCAUUGUUUGGUAACGUAUUAUUGGUUCCUGCCAUUUGUAACAUGGCUGGUUAGGAAAACUUAAAAAGAUUAGGAAAGUUUUUAUUGAAAGGUGAAAAACCAAUGUGAAGGGGUGGUGGUGGGAGUUGGGACGAAAAAUAACCGGACAAAAAAAAACAGUGUACCAAAAGAAAUCAUGUACCGAGCUACCAACUCCCCAAUUAGAAGUAGAGAUUAGGAAUAUAUAUAUAUAUAUACUAAAUUAGUAUAUAUGAAAAUGAUAAUUAUGUAACUUAAAAAAUUCCAAGUGUACACAAAAAAUGUCUCAUGUGUUCAAGUAAAUAUUAAGUGUGUAUGAAAAAUGUUAAUGUUCUAUAUGAAGAGAGAAAAAAUAAAAUUAAUAACUAAAUAAAGAAACAAAAAAAAUAAAAAGAAACAAUGAAAUCUGAAUAAGAAACAAAGAAAACGAAAGGAAAGAAAGUCCAGGUAAAAAAGCGGUGCAAAAGAUUGUUAAAAUGGAACCAAUAGAGGAAAAUAAAACAAUUGAAAACCAAGAAAGANNNNNNNNNNNNNNNNNNNNNNNNNNNNNNNNNNNNNNNNNNNNNNNNNNNNNNNNNNNNNNNNNNNNNNNNNNNNNNNNNNNNNNNNNNNNNNNNNNNNNNNNNNNNNNNNNNNNNNNNNNNNNNNNNNNNNNNNNNNNNNNNNNNNNNNNNNNNNNNNNNNNNNNNNNNNNNNUGAAAACCAAGAAAGAAACAAAGGAAAAUAAGAAAAUAAGAAAGAAAAAAAUAAAAAAAAACAGACAAAUGGAGAAAAAUGUGUAAAAUAAAAACUAGUGAAAGAAAUGAAGAAAAUAGAUGAGAAAACAACGAAGCCUCGAGAAAAAAAAUGCAGCGAACGUGCGACCAGCGCGGGUACUACCCUAAUAAUGAGCGAGCUCAGUACUAUAUGGGCACAUGAAAACCUUCACACAAACGGUUCAAAAUCAUUAAUUAGUGAGUACAUCUUUCAACGAUUGCUUUCACCUUCACAACUUACGACAAGUUAUGCACUGCAUGCGUAUCACUUGUCGCAACUUGGGAGUUUUUCUUUUUUUCGUAGAUCCGUAUUUUAAAACGUUUUAUUUUCUAAACCGUACGUCAAAAUCUCAAAUCGUUUUCAUCGUUGGCUUUCUCGCGUCGAGAUCUUCAAAACUAGAUCUCAUAUUUGUUAGACAUUGUAUUAUCACGUAUACACACGGUACAUGUAUAAACCGUGUGUAUCUCGUUGUAGGCGUGUGUGGGUAAGUUUAAGUUGAGGAUGUCUUGUUAGGAUCUAUCUCUUGUGUUUAAACUUGUAGAUAAGAUAGAUCCUAACUCCUUGUUGUAAUCUCCUUGGCCUUGUGCCCUUUAUUAACACGCAAGCGUCCCUGCUAACGCAUACGCUUCAAGCCUCAUAUUCUCACAUGGUAUCGAGCCUCUCUCUUACAUCCACGUCCAACCUAUCCUCCUCUACCGCCGCCGCCAUGUCUUCUUCUUCUUCUUCUUCCUCCCUCGCCGCCCUCGGUCACACCAUCACCGACAAGCUCUCCCAAGACAACUUUCUGGUGUGGAAAGCUCAAGUUCUUCCCCACAUCAGGGCCACCGGCCUAAUGGGAUACCUCGAUGGUACUUCCGUGGCGCCCCCUACCGUUCUUCAAUCUGAAACGAACGUCUCCGGGAAGAAGGAGAUGGUCUCCACUCCAAAUCCUGCCUACAUCAUCUGGUAUACUCAAGAUCAGCAAGUUCUCACCUUCCUGCUGGCCUCGCUUUCUCGGGAGGUUUUGCUGCAAGUCCACGACAUCACCUCCUCCACCGGUGUCUGGCACAUGAUCCUGCAGUUGUUCGCUUCUCAAUCUCGUGGGCGCGUCAUGCAGCUUCGGGGUCAACUCUCCACAACUCGCAAGGGCGAUCUCUCUGCGGCCGCCUACUACACCAAGAUGAAGGGCUUCAUCGAUGAGCUUGCAGCGGUUGGAAAAUCAGUUGAUGAAGAUGAGGUGGUGUCCCAUCUACUCCACAGAUUGGAUUCAGAUUACAAUUCUUUUGUAUCUGCAAUUUCCACCCAUGUUGUGGCUGAUAAUCCCAUUGGCCUUGGCGAGCUCUACUCCCUGCUGCUCUUCGCUUAGGCCCGAGUCGAAGCACAGAACACCACCCUCUCCCACUCCCUGAACCUUGCAUCAAAGGGGGGUGGCCGUGGCUCUCCUGCCCGAUCUGCAGAAGGCCAGGACCUUCGGUUCAGUCCCAGCGGGGGCGCGUCUCCUCCAGGACGCGGUGCUGCAUCGUCUCAAGGGCCUCUUGGUCCCCUUGUCUGUCAGAUCUGCAAACUUGACGGACAUGGGGCGUGGUUGUGACAGCCCGAUGCCGACGUUCCAGAAGAUUCCCCUUCUAUUCCGUUUUCGUCGUGUGUCUAUUUUCUUUUGUCGCAACAUCAUCGCAUCAUCCGCAUCAUCCGCAUUGCAUCGGCAUCUCCGUUGCCGUCAGGUUUAAAAACUUGCAUCCGUUGUUAGUUGCCGGUUCUCGUCGUUGUCCGUUCUGAGACCGACCGCACACGCACGCGCCCGCGGCAUCGUCAAAACCCUGUUUUAAAAGUGUGUUGAAAACUUUCUCUGAUCGGGGUGAAACUUGGCAUGCGGUCGUAAUUAGAUAUAGCUAGCCCGCCCGGCGAAUUUCAUCGCGAUCGGAGUCCGUCUGGUACCCGAAUGGUCGACCGUAGCGGCACCGUAUUCGGUCUAUCGUCACACGUUUUCUGUUGUUUUAAAAAUCGCAUUGUCGCGCCGCACCUUUUCCCUCUCGUCCCCGGCUAGCCACUCUACACAGCCCAUCCAAUCCAUUCCCGUGUCCGUGAUCGUCCGAUCACGAUUCCGUGGGCGAAAACGGAUCCCGAUUCGGAUAACCCUAACCCCAUUUCCUAUAAAUAGACCACCCUAAUUCAGCUAACCCUAACCCUCUCCUCGUUUCCCAUGCUAACCCCACCAAACCCUAGCCUGCACCUCCCUCUCUCCCUCCUCAAGCCACCGGGCCCGCCCAAGCCCGGGUCAGGCCCGCCGAAACCCAUCUGGACCCGAGGAGCUGCCUCCUGCAGUUCCCCGUCGCCAUGGCCGCCUGCCUCCCGCAGCUUCUCGCCGCCUCGCCGCACUUGUAGUGUGCCGCCCUGCUCCCCUCCGUCGCCGGAGUCCCGCCGGUCGCCGGAGUGCCCACGCCUCCCGCAGCACCUCCCCGCCGCCAGCUCCUCGCCCCGGAUGCGUGCCGCCGUUCCGCGUUCCCCCGCGUCCCUCCGGCCCCUGUCGCGCCACCUGUCGAGCCGCAGCCCCGUCGGCUGGAUCUGUCGUGCCCCCCGAUUCCCCGUCGCUCCGCCUCCCUCGCUUGUCGUCCCUCGCCGCAGCGCAUGGAGCCUACGCCGCCGCCUGAUGAGCUCGGGAUCGAGCCAAGUGACGGGAGGAACACCAGCCCCCCUUCUGCAUGGGCCCCGCAGCCAGGCUGGCCGAUCUGGCCCAGCUAGGCUGCCCCGCUGGGCCUCCUCCUCCAGUAGCUCCCUUGGCCUACCCCGCAGCAAGGACUGCCUCGAGCCGGCCUGCUCCACCAGCCUCUCCAGGUCGGCCCAUGGCCCAAGGUGAGCACUCCUUUUUUCCCUACCUCUAUGCCCCGCCUGAGCACAUUUUAGAUAGGUUGUGCCCCAUGUAGGACCAUUAGAUAUUUGGUAGUUUUAGGAAUUAAUAAAUUUCAGAAAUUAGACGUUUAGUAAAACCCCCGUAACUUUUAAACCGUUAGUCGGUUUGCGACGUGUAGUAUAUGGGUUUCGUGUAGUUUUGCGCAUAGAAUACGAUUUAACAACUUGCAUAUUUGUUUGUUGUAGUUCAGCGUGCCUAAUGCCUAGAUUAUCGUGGUGUUCCAAUAGGAUAGACGCCCGAAUUUAUUUUUGUCGCGCAUGUCCGGAUUGCCUGAACGUCGUAGAUAAUAUGUACAUGUUUUAGGAACCUCUUUUCCAUGUAUUUUAGAGUAGCCGUUGGUAUUUUUGCGCGUAGGGAUUUGCCGCUAGAUUAUUUUCCGUGUUUAGGUCUUUAUCUCGCAUUUACAUGUGGCAUUAUUUUUGUGUUGCAACCCCACAUAUUUUAUAUGUUUCCGGGGAUUUUUCUAUGCAAUUAGUUUUAGCUUUUGAGUAGGUUAGUUCACGCGAUAUUUUGCCAUGUUGCCCUCUUGUCUUUUUCGCAGGAUUUAUUCUGUGCUUCGUUUGAUUAAGUUGUCAACUAGGGAGUUGUUCUUGGAUGUUUACUCUAGCCUAUGGUAUUAUUGGUUGCAAUAGAAAUGCAUGUUUAGUGUGGUUUGCUUGCUCUCAAGUUGCUAGGAAAUAGUGCUGAUUUGGAGAUGCUAAAAUAUUUCUAAGUCUGGAAUCUGAUAUAUUUUGUUGAUGUCUUGUUUUGCUUGUAUCUUUUGAUCUGUAGCUCUUUUGAGGUUGGUGCAAUGGAGUAAGUUGUAGACCUUGUGAUUCUCUAGCCAGCUGUGAAUUUUCAUGCCAUUUGGAGUCCUAUAGCUAUAGGUUUUGCUGCUAUCAAUAUGGCUUCAGAUCAAAAACUGCACUUUCAUGAAGUGUUAUUUUCUCUAAGUCUGAAACUGUAUGUGAGAACCCAUUUUGUGACUUCUUUUCCUAGUGAUCCAUUCUGCCAUGCUAGUUGUUGUUAGUUGUUCGUAGUAGUGCUUCUUGCCCUCUUUCGUGUCAUGCCUUGGUUGAGUAUAUCGGAGUUGUGUAGCUCGUAGUUGUGGGGUGUAGAAAAUGCUAUGUGGCUGAUUUUGGCAGAUUGUAGUGACUUCUUGUUUUGCUCGUAGUUGUUGAUCCGUAGCUCCGUUUUGUUCGCGUCCUACAUGAAACUUGCUUAGAACCUCGUGUUAUUUCUUUUUCUCUUGCUGUUUGUAUGUUUUGAAGUGCUCGUGACCGUCGUUGCACACAUAUUGCAUUCAUGCCAUCAUAUCUUGCGGUGUCCGUAUCUUUUGAACCUUAGCUCCGUUGGAGAUGAUCUCUAUGUGUAAAUUGCUUGCCAUGACGCGUAGAAUCACGUGAACCUAUUUGUUUUUCUGUUUAACAACUAAUUAAAUGCGUUAGUUCAGAUCUGGACAGAAUUGUAAAUCAACAUGUGAGGUCGUCUCGGAGACGCUAUAUAUCAUUUCCGACCUCAUUUAAAAUGCCUAGAUAGGUAGUUUAAUUAUGCUUCACCUCUUUCCAUGUUUAACCACAUUUAAUAUUGUCGUGUACCUAAUCGAGAUAGAACUAAAUAAUCCGUAUGUGGAGUUUCGUCAAUAUGCAACUCGUUGCAUAUUGAACUUCACUUAAUGUGUAGUAUUUGGUUGUGGUGAUUUGUCAUGCCGCGACUUGCGUGUAUUCAGCUGCUCAUGCAUCAUAUGUGUUGUGCAUCGGUGGUGAAUUUCAUGUGUUGAUUCUUGUUUCCGGUUUCCUUCGUCUCGAUAGAGUUCCGCAAGCGUGUCGGAUGUGAGGACCCGUUCGACUACGUCGGUUCGUCUGCUUCACGAAGGCAUUCUUCUUCCAAGCGGGAUCUUAGGCAAGAUGACCAUUUCCCCAGAUACCAUUACUAUGAUUGCCAUGCUAGUUUUACCGUUUCUAUCGAUUAUGACUCGUUGCCAUGAAAACCUUCAACCUGUUAAACCUAGCAAACCACUGAUUGGCUAUGUUACCGCUUGCUUAACCCUGGUUAGCGUUGCUAGUUGCAGGUGCAGUUGCUUCCAUGUGAAAACAUGGGUUCCUUGUUAUAUCACCAUAUUAAUGCUAUUUAAUUUAAUGCACCUAUAUACUUGGUAAAAGGUGGAAGGCUCGGCCUUUCUAGCCUGGUGUUUUGUUCCACCUUUGCCCCCUUAGUUUCAGCUACCGUUGUUAUGUUCCAUAAUUGAGCGCUCCUAACACGAUCCGGGUUGUUAUGGGGACCCCUUGAUAAUUCGCUUUAGAUUAAAACUGGUUUGGCAAGGCCCAACAUUGGUACUAUUUGCCCAACAUAAUAAUUUUGAUAACACUGAAAUGCAUAGGGAGUUAGCGCUACCCGAGCAGUAAUUCUACAUAAUACAGGGGGGGCCAGUGCUGAUGGUGCUGGUCCAAAACUAGAGCCGUUUGCGGGGCCAACCCGGGGCAACUCGAGAGAUUUCUAUCAGGCCACCGUACGAUGUGCUUAUCUGUCGUGUCCUGAGAACGAGAUACACGGCUCCUAUCGGGAUCGUUGACACGUCGGGCGGCCUUGCUGGAUUAGUUUUAUCUUUGAAGAGAUAUCUUGUGCAUCGGGAUUCCGGUGAUGCUUUGGGUAAUCUCAGAGUUGAGGUUUUCCACUAAAGAAUCCGACGAGAUCGCGAGCUUCGUGAUCGAGGAUUUCUAUGCGGCUUGUGGUAAUUUGUGAUGGACUAGUUGGAGCACCCCUGCAGGGUUAAAUCUUUCGGAAAGCCGUGCCCGCGGUUAUGUGGCAACGUGGAAACUUUGUUUAACACUGGUUCUAGAUAACUUGAAGUUAACUUAAUUAAAAUAUGCCAACCGUGUGCGUAACCGUGACUGUCUCUUUUGUGAGUUCCUUCUCCAAUCGAGGACACGGUGGGGUUAUGUCUGACGUAGGUAGGUGUUCAGGAUCAUUCAUUUGAUCAUCAGUAGUUCACGUCCGCUAUGCGUAGAUCUUCCCCCUCUUAUUUCUUGUACUCGUAAGUGUAUCCACCAAAUAAAUGCUUAGCCGCUGCCGCAACCUCACCACUUAACCAUGCCUCACCCAUUUAGCUUUGCUAGUCUUGAUACCUUUGGAAAUGAGAUUGUUGAGUCCCCUGUGGCUCACAGAUUACUACAACACCAGUUGCAGGUACAGGUAAAGGUUACUUGAUGCGAGCGCGUUGAUUGUUCAUUUGGAGUUGCUUCUUCUUCUUCUUCUUCUUCUUCUUCAUCGAUCUAGGAUGGGUUCCAGGCCGGCAGCCUGGGAUAGCAAGGAUGGACGUCGUUCUUCUUUUGUUGUUUGUUUUCAUCCGUAGUCGGACCCUGCUCUUACUCUUGAUGAAUAUGUACUGUACUGCUGUGACUCUGAUGUAGCUUGUGGCGAGUGGAAGCCAAUUCUAUAUAUAUCUCAUCUUUUCAGUACAUGUACUUGUAACGAUAUCCAUUCUUGCGACACGACGAGAUGCACUUCUAUCCCUGACGAGGCCUUCGUGCCAAAUUGAGGAUAGGGUCGCAUCUUGGGCGUGACAAGUUGGUAUCAGAGCAGUACCGACCUAGGAGCCCCCUUGAUUGAUCGAACUUGGCCGAGUCGAGUCUAGUGAAAAACUACUUUGAGUCUAGUUAUAUAUCGGAGAGUAUGAUUCUUUUUUCUCCUCCUCUAUGCUCUGGUGAGGAAUCUUGACGUAAUAAUUAAUUCUACUCCUCUUCUCACUUAAAAAAAAUUAGGAUCACGCGGAUAUUUUUGGAAUCUAUAUGAUGCCGAUGUGACAGAGUUCUGUCUCGGUGCCUCCUGUCUAAAUUGAUUUUCUUCCGGGAAGCUGAGCUCCAGGGGAUUCUUGAGCACAUAUCAUUCAGAUUUCUUAGUAUCUCAGAAUGAAGGAUGUUCGUAAUUGCUUCAAUACUAGUAGUGGCGAGAUAACCCCGAUUUCCCAAGUACUGGUGCAGAUUGUUCGGGAGUACUGCCAUACUUUGUAUCGUUGUGAUCACGAGGGUCUGUAGUAGAUGAAGGUCCGAGAUUCUAGUUGUGUGUUGACGGAUGUGAUACAGGUGACUGGUUAGUAUAGGAGUUGUGUGAUAUUACUCAUUGUAUCCGUGUACUAGAUUGCAUGACCAGAUAUUUCGAGAAUUCAUAGGUGGGAAUCCAAGUAGUUGCUUAUAGGACAAUCUUCCAACAAAUGCAUGAUGUUAGGUUGGGGUUCAACAUCUAGUGGAUUCGUUUGUUGACGGUCGACUUACAGCGGUUCUCGUUGUGUCUUAAAGAGUCCUUGUAUCUUGCUACGACUCGGGGACGCUUCGUAUGUCGGGUGCACUGCCUUGCACUUGAUGUCUCCUGUAAGGUUCGAGCCCGUGCGAUCCUGUCCACGAAAAUAUCGGACGAAAUCUUUCUCAUGAGUUUGUUCUGGCUAAUUUUAAGCCUCAUCUCUUUGUUUUGUUGGAGUUUGGUAAUUCAAGUUGCUUCGAUGUCAAGUGGUGAUUUCAUAUCUUUUCUAAGUAGUGAUCUCAUAUUCAUAUGAGAGUGCUAAUCCUUUUGCUCAAUCAAUUGUCUUAUCAAUUUUUGUCAACCGGAGUCGCCAUAUCAAUUGUUUUUCAACUGGCGUGCUUCUCUUCAAGUGAAUUCAAUCCUCUCUAAUUUUGCAAGAUCAUUCUCUCAUUUCAUCCAGAGUUCAUCCCAUCUGUUCCAAGUUGUCUUUGUUUUCCCCCGCCCUCCCACCCUUUUUCUUCAAUGUUUCAGUCAUCAUCCAAGUGCCUUUAUAUUCAGUGAUGCUUUCGCUAUCUUUUAUUCCGUGUGGUAUCCGAUGGUUCAUUGUGAAUAUUCUCAGGAGUUUCGUGUUUUUCUUUAUUCAAUCUUGUCAUCUUUUCCGAUGAAUUCAGUUCAAGCUAUCUGUGUUCCUCAUAUCCUUUCAUCCUUUAAAUUCUUUCCUAUGAUUGGAAAAAAUUUAUCAGUCUAUCUUCUUGUUGUCAUUUCUCUUUAUUCUAUCUGGAGCGUUGAAGUUAUCUCAGAAUUCUUGUUCUCAAUUCUUUAAUUAUUUCAAGGUGCUCAGCCUCAUCUAGUUUACUUUAUACCGGUGCAACAUCUCUCUUUCUAAGCAAUCUUUUCAACGAUGGUUUCUUCGAGUGGGCCCAUAACCCACAGGUUUUUUCCCAGGAUCUUAUAUAGCUCCGUAAUCUUUCCGGAGAUCUCUAAUCUUUUCAACUAUGACGUAAGUAUGAAUUUCAUCAGUCAUAUUCCUUCUUCAAGUUCAAUUUGAAUUAACUCUCAUAUUGGUUCAACCUUUCAUUCUUCAUUAUCCCGGAGUGUCUCAGUAAUUCUUGGUGUUGUUCUCGUCAUCAUUCUCAGUUUGCAAUCCGAAGGAGUGUUUCUCUCGAAUCUUGGUUCAUUAUCUACAAGAUUCAUCAUUUCAGCUUGGUGUCGUCAUCUUAAUUGUUUCCGAUCGUGAGUGAUUCAUUUCUUUCUAUCCGGUGCUUUUCUGAGUUGUUUUCAUUUCUCGAUCCUCUGAAGGCCAUCAUUUUAGAAGAUGCUUCGUUCUCAGCUUUCAGCUUUCAUCCUCAAUUUUUCUCAACUGUUGUCUCUUCGUUCGUCUCUCGAUUAUCCGGUGCCUUGUUCUAGUUUUCUCUCAGCUGGCUCAUGAGCUCUUCAUUCUCAUGUAUCUCCAUUAAUUCGUGGUGUUCCCAUUCAAUUAUGAAUUCUUAUCGGUGCUUCCUUCAAUUAUGCUUCCAGUGGUGCUUAUCUCUCUGUCUCUUCAAGAUUCUUUCAAGAAUAAUAAGUUGUAUGCUAAAUCCAUUGAUUGUCAUCAAUUAAACUUGAUGAAGGAUAAGCAUAACAAAUUCUUAUUCUUGUUCAUAGUGAUUUCAAUUCUUCUUCCGGAGCGGCUCAUGAUAUCAAUUCAUUCUCAAAGUGUUCUUCAAGAUUAUUGUGGAGAACCUCAAGUAUCCUUUCUCUUGCAUUUAUAUGUGCAAUUGUUCUUCCUUUAUCCUUUGAGGUGGUAUUAUAGCAUUCUUGUUAGUGUAGGAGCCUCAAACAAAAUCCUUUCAAGAAUGAGAUAGUUAAACCCACCAAUUCUAUGAUCAUGAGAUAUUUGCAACACAUGAUUUCUUCAUUGAGCUAUCUUGGUUUGGAUGUCACCUAAAGCUUUUCCUAUGGAUUGUUGUUAUCAUGGUGCUUGUCAUUAAUCCAAGUUCUCAAUGUAUCCUCUUGGUGUAAGAAAUUGUUCAUGCUUGUUUCGCCCAAUCAACCCUUGUUUCUGUUAGUGGCUGGUUGUCACUUCAUUAGUUUUAAAAGGUUUCCAUAAGCCCACUACUAUCUUGUUCUUUUCGUUGUUAUUUUUCCAACAACUCCGUCCAAUUCUUCUUGCAAGGAUGCUUUUCAAGUUCAUUGGAGUUAGUAGUUGUCAUUCUCUCUUCAUUCUCUUCUUCCGUAUGAGCUAGUUCCUAUUCUAUUGUUCCGGAGGCAUUGUGAUGUUGCUCUUUUGGGCCUAUUAUGUUGUUCUACCAAGAUCAUGGUGUUCCCUUGUUCUAUUUACUUGUUUUUUGUGAAUUUUGUCUAAUUCUACCAUCUUAUCGAAUUUUUUGUCCCAUUUUCCUACCUAAGUGCUACCGAAAUUUUCCGUGAAUUCUUGCUUCUUUCUCAUAUCAUUCCUCAUUGCCUUGCAACUUUCAAGGAUCAUUGGUUUCAGUCGUUUGUCAAAGAAGCGACUAAGUUUUUACCUCUUGUUCUUUCUCAUCCUCUCCCCCUUUCAUUCUUGGAUCUCGGGGCGAGAUCCUCUUGUAGUGUAGGAGAGUUGUGACAGCCCGAUGCCGACGUUCCAGAAGAUUCCCCUUCUAUUCCGUUUUCAUCAUGUGUCUAUUUUCUUUUGUCGAAUCAUCAUCACAUCAUCCGCAUCAUCCGCAUUGCAUCGGCAUCUCCGUUGCCGUCAGAUUUCAAAACUUGCAUCCGUUGUUAGUUGCCGGUUCUCGUCGUUGUCCGUUCUGAGCCCGACCGCACACGCACGCGCCCGCGGCAUCGUCAAAACCCUGUUUUAUAAGUGUGUUGAAAACUUUCUCUGAUCGGGGUGAAACUUGGCAUGCGGUCAUAAUUAGAUAUAGCUAGGCCGCCUGUCGAAUUUCGUCACGAUCGGAGUCCGUCUAGUACCCGAAUGGUCGACCGUAGCGGCACCGUAUUCGGUCUAUCGUCAGACGUUUUUCGUUGUUUUAAAAAUCGCAUUGUCGCGCCGCACCUUUUCCCUCUCGUCUCCGGCUAUCCAUCUCCACAACCCAUCCAAUCCAUUCCCGUGUCCGCGACCGUCCGAUCACGAUUCCAUGGGUGAAAACGGAUCCCGAUUCUUAUAACCCUAACCCCAUUUCCUAUAAAUAGACCACCCUAAUUCAGCUAACCCUAACCCUCUCCUCGUUUCCCGUGCUAACCACACCAAACCCUAGCCUCCACCUCCCUCUCUCCCUCCUCCAGCCGCCGGGCCGCCCGAUGUAACGACCAAGAUGCGGUCCUUUCCGAUCUGGGGAUCGAGGCCCCGAAUUGGAAAGGAGCGCAUCUAAGCGUCUCGCAAACAGGUAACACAACACAUACAUAAUAAUAAAGAUAGACAAUCAGGGGUUCAAUUGCCUUCUCAUAAAUAUAUAUCAAAGUACAUCACGCAUAUAACCAAAGUAGUUCCGCUACGGACUACAAAACAUAGAAAGGCUAUGCUACCCUGCCUGCAGGCCCACGAUCACGACCACGCCUCAAUCUUCUGGAUAGUUCACGUACAUGCGGUCUGUCUCCUCAUCGUACUGCCACGCCAGCUGCGUGUCAUCGGGAUCAUCUGUCUUUGGGGUACCUGAACCUGUUGGUAUUGUGGAGGAAUCCGUGAGCCAUGGGGACUCAGCAAUCUAAGACCUUGGUGCCAGAACUAGUCAAGUUAUUAGGUAGGAUAAGGUGAAGUGUUUAAGAUUGCAGCAUCCUAAGCUUGAUUUCGUGGCUAACUUACAUAGAACAUUUAUGAAGGUGGUCUAUUCUAGCGGUCGCGUAUACUUGAUCACUAAGUAAUCCUGAACACCUACCUACGUCAUUCAUAACCCCACCGUGUUUCCGAUCGAAGAGAGAUCUUCGAGGGGACAGUCACGGUUACUCACACAGUUGGCAAUUUUAUUAGCUUUUGUUUAAGUUAUCUAAUACCGGAUGUUAACAAAAUAUUCCAAGUUGCCACAUAACCGCGGGCAUGGCUUUCCGAAAGAUUAAACCCUGCAGGGAUGCUCCAACUAGUCCAUNNNNNNNNNNNNNNNNNNNNNNNNNNNNNNNNNNNNNNNNNNNNNNNNNNNNNNNNNNNNNNNNNNNNNNNNNNNNNNNNNNNNNNNNNNNNNNNNNNNNNNNNNNNNNNNNNNNNNNNNNNNNNNNNNNNNNNNNNNNNNNNNNNNNNNNNNNNNNNNNNNNNNNNNNNNNNNNNNNNNNNNNNNNNNNNNNNNNNNNNNNNNNNNNNNNNNNNNNNNNNNNNNNNNNNNNNNNNNNNNNNNNNNNNNNNNNNNNNNNNUCACCGGGAUUCCUAUACGCAAGAUAUAUCGCUAAGGUAAGACAAGACUAGCAGGACCUCCCGAUGUGUCGACGACCCUGCUGAGCCGCGUAUCUCAGUCUCAGGACACGCCGGAUGGAACUAGCUACACGUACCAACCUCAAGUUUCCUUGUGGUGGCCACGCGGGCAGACCAGUUUGGACCAACACUCAUGAGGAGCACUGGCCCGGGUUGUUGAUUAAAGAUCCUCGGGGUGAUUGUUCCCUAUGCAGAUUAUUAUUAAGUGAUUAGCAAAUUAACACCAAUGUUGGGUCCUGCCGGACAAGCCUUAGCACUACGCGAUUUAUCAAGGGGGUCCCCAUAACAACCCCGAACGUGUUAGGAGCGAUCAAUAUGGAAUCAAACACCGGUAGCCGGUAACUAUGGUGGCAAUAACGGAACAAGGAACGCGGCAAAAGGCUAGGCCUUCCUUCAUUUACCAAGUAUAUAGGUGCAUUAAUUAAAUAACAGAAUUUAAGAUAAUGAUAUCAAGCACAUGUUGUCACAUGAGACAAAGCACCUGCAUCUAGCAAUGCUAACAUUAGUAGCUGAGCAAAGCCUACUUAGCCAAUCAAGUUUUGCUAGGUAGGGGUAGUAUUUGGGUUCAUGGCAUAUCAAGAGGCAAAUAUUUCAGUGGUAGGCAGCGAGCAAUAUGACAUGGAAACGCAAACUAGCAUAACAAGUCUAGAGAUGGAAUCAAGGUCAUAUCAUCUUGCCUGUGAUAUCCUCAGCUUGGAAUGGUUCUUGUUCGUCCUGCACGUACUCUCCCGAAUCCACGUACUCGUUCUCCGAUCCCAGUGCUACCCAACAUAAGAAUAACAUACAAUGAACAACAGCACCUCAAGAUGCAACAAGCACAUGAUGCAUGAGAUGAAAAAUGAGCAUGCAUCACUAUUUCUAUCACCAACACAAGCUUACGAAGCUCAAACAAGUUCCUGGACAGAACUGCAUGCUAUACUAUUUUUACAUGCAUGGGCCUGACAUGAACAGAUGCGUCUCGUGAAAAUGAUGCAAACCCAUAUAAAGAACAUCACAAUCGGAGCUACGGAUCAACGGGAAUCAACGAAACAAGAUAUGAAGCCCUACGUGUCAAAAUCAUCACCACACACUCAAAUGGCACAACCCUGGUAUUUCCAGGUUGCCAAGACAUAUAACAACCCAACAUGAAUGGGUUGGAGCAAGGAAGAACACCACAUCUCCAACUAAGCACUCACAAACAUAAAAAUGAUAAAACUACACAAUCUGCCAUAAACUGCAUCUUAGCACUUUGUGAGUUGCAUGCAACAUACCUACAGCCACCCAAAUAUGACAAAUAAUAUAUGUGGCUGUAGCUAGCCAAGAAUACUACCAGCACAAGCAAGAAUCACACAAAAAGGAAUUAAACACAGAAAGUUAUAAGGCUGCAAACUUGCCCAAAACCAUCAGAUCUCAGGGACUUAGUGAAAAUUCCUGCACCUAACUUUCUGUCUUUGCUCUGAAGCUUUUUGACAGCAGCCAAAACAAUACCUACAGGGCUCCAAAUGACAUGAAAUUUUACAGGGAGCUAGUCAAACAUAUCAGGUCCAACUUUCUAGUUUAAAGCUAGGGCUAUAUCACAACACAAUUACCAGCACAACCACAUCUACAUGUGAAGAAACUAUAACCAGAUUCUCGGACUUAGUGAAAAUCUCAGAUUUUCACUAAUCUGGAAUUUCAGUCACAUGCCUACUUUGGAUGUGCACAACUUGCACACAUGGAUUCCAAAUCAUGAAUUGAAACCAACAUGUGGUAGAGGGGGUCACCCUCUACUACCACAACCAAGAAACAAAUACAAGAGUACAUCAUAAACCAUGGAACCAAGCUCUAUACUUAGAAGAAAAUGCAAAUAUGAAUUUUCCAGAAAAUGUUUCAAUGGCAAAAAUGAUUUCACCAAUGUAUUCCUGGGAUCUUUCUACCACAAAAACAUAUAUAAUAUGUGGGCACUUCCUUGGAGCAAGUGAGCACAAACUAGAAAGGAAAAACUACAUAGAAUACAACAUAGUGAAUAGUGCAACAAUUCAUGCAACUCUCACUAGAACAACUAUCACAUAGCUAUGCUCAUGUGCACAAAGACAAUAUAGACAUGACGUUUUGGACCCCAUGUUAGUGUCAUGCACAUCCAAAACACAAACACUUCUCUCCCUAUAUCACCCACACACACACACAUCAUGCCCUCUCUCACAUUUAACAUGAGGAGGUGCACAAGUUGCAAAUGGGGCUGUUUACCACCCACAUACAUCAUCACACACACUCACACAUGUGGUCUUCACCAUGUGUAUGCACACACACACACACCUAAGCAAGCACAAGAUUAUACAAGCACAUGCACCUACAUGCACUCCCUCUAGAGCACACACACACAUCAUGAGGCACAGAAAUGUUUAAACCAAUAUAGCACAAGAAGUAAAACAGCUAGCUACUCACCAAAGCUGGUGAAAAAAAAUACUCAUCAGCAAAAAAAGAAAACAAAGGGGGGGGUCUCUCGGUUCGAACCCAAGAUCCCCUGGUACUGCCUACUGCACCCAAACCACUCUGCUACUGACCAAGUCUCGGCAGGAGAGGGGGUUCUAACAGGGUCAGCUAUACUGCUGCUACUACUGCACCAAAUUAGACAGAAAAACAAAAGGGUUGAGGGGGACUCGAACCCUCGACCUCAAGCUGCAAACACACGUCGUUGCAACAACGCUAUGCUACAGAUCCUGCCAGCUAGGGGAACUGAAGCAAGAAAAACCAGCGCCUUCAGACUAUGCUCUGCACACACGCGCACGCCGGCGACACAGACCCUGCCGGCAUGCCUGCUGCCGCUGCUGCGCUACGACGAGGAGGUGCUACUACUGCUAGCCGGCUGCUACGCGGGGGAGGGAAGGACCUGCUGCUACGCGCAUCGCCGAGUCACACCCAAAACAACUACUCCACCCACUCUGCACCUGCUACUGCUCUGAUCUGCCACUACAGAGAAGCACGCGCACAUGCUCUCGCCGGAUCCGGGUCGACCUAAGGAGGAAGAAGGAAGGGGAGGUUGAACCUCACCUUGGGGAAGGAAGGAGAGCUCGAUCGGAGGAGAAGGCCCCUGCCAGAGAGGAAGAAGAAACCGAAGACGCCCCUGUGCAGAACCGAAGAAGAGGGAGAAGCAGAACACCAGGAGCACGGCCUUGGUGAGCUCGGGGCCGUCGGUGUGGUCGAUCUCCGGGGCUCCUAGCGCCGAGAAUGGAACACGGGGAACCACCCCGAGAUCUCGGACAUGGCGGUGGUGGACGACGACGACGACGCACGGCGAUCGGCGACGAUGGGCUGCUCUAACUACUCUGCGUGAAGCUCCUACAGAAGCUUACCUUGGGGAGGAAGGGAGAGAUGGAGGGGAAGAAGAGAGAUGGCGGCGGCAGGAGGGAAUGGAGAGGAACCCUAGGCGAGGGGGGGACGGACGCCACGUUAUAUGGGGUGGUCCUCGACGUUUGUGCCUCACGGCGCAGCUCUCUCUCUCGGCUAAGCUGACGGAAAGGAGGUGCGCGGAUGCGGACGGCGUCAGGUGGGAGAAGGAGGCGCGGGGGUGGGCUCCUUCGCUACACAGGAGGUGAGAUGGGCCUCUCUCGUGGGAGGAAGCCCACCAGAGCGCAUCUUAAAGGAAAAGGCCACUGCUAGCCAUUUCCUAUUUAAUAAAACAACAGGAAAAGGGGAAAGGCCACAGAGUGAACCACAAAAGAUAAAAAUAAAAGGAAAAUGUCCCUGGGCCUGAAAUUUAGCAAGCUAAUUGAAUAAAAUAACAACAUGAUUUUUGGGGCAUAUGAAAUAAAUACAAAACAGCAAUAUUGGUGGUUGUUUUGUGUUUAUUCUAGCACCCCUAGGACCCAAAACAAAUGACCAAACUAGUACAUCUAUAUACCCACAAUAUUUCCUAAAUGGAAGACAUUUUUAAAUUAGCUUUGGGGAAGAUGGAUUUUUAACAUGAGAUGAAAGGAAGGAAAAGGGUUUUGCAAAUAAAUAUAGGGGGUUUGAAAAUAUGACAAGCACCACUACCCUUAGUUCUUCCACCACAACCACAUGAAACCAUAACAGCACCUCAUCACAUAAACAAGAUCACAUGCAUCACAAGGUAAGGCAAGGAUGGGAUGACAUGGAUGCAUGCAUGCAAAAGGAGAAUAAGAACACAAGGUGACACAUGAAUUCAUAGACACAAAAUGACCUCAUCAUAUCCAAGACAAGGUGGACCCACAUGCAAUAGGUUCCAAAUAUGGCAAUUACACACUUGGGGCAUUACAACCUCUCCCACACUACAAGGAAGAUCUCGCCCUCGAGAUCUAAGACUGAAAGAAAUCAGGAAAUUCGGAACGGAGGUGAUCCUCGCAUUCCCAAGUCGCCUCUUUAUCUGAAUGGUUUGACCACUGCACUUUGAGAAAUUUAACAGUCUUGUUACGGGUCUUGCGCUCAGUCAUCUCGAGAACUGCAACAGGAUGCUCACGAUAAGAAAGGUCAGGCUGAAGAUCGAUAUCUUGAAGAUGCACAGUGCGCUCGGGGGUCUUGAAACACCUCCGAAGCUGAGAAACAUGGAACACAUCAUCGACAUUUGCAAAGGUUGAAAGGAGCUCAAGCUGGUACGCAAGGUCGCCUUUCUUGCCAACCACUCUGAAUGGACCAACCAAACGAGGUGCAAGCUUGCCUUUGAUGCCAAAGCGUUGCAUACCCUUCAUAGGCGACACCUUGAGAUAGACGAAGUCAUCAAGCUCAUAAGACAUGUCAUGGUGCUUGCUAUCGUAAUAGCUCUUCUGACGGGACUGAGCUUCUCUGAGGUUGUCGCGAAUGAUCCGACACAUCUCCUCAGCUUCUUCUAUCAUAUCAUUGCCAAGGAUCUGACGCUCGCCGGUCUCGGAUUGUAUCAUCGCGCGUCGCGAAUAUAAUCACGUCUUCCGAAGAGUGGGUAAGCUUCACUUCUUUGGCUUCACAAUCAAUUGACGCCUUGUUCAUGGCCAACCAGUCCAUACCAAGGAUCAAAUCAAUGUCGGAAUUACCCAAGACAAUAGGAGAUGCCAGAAAAGCAUAAGCGCCCAUCUUGACAGAAACAUCUGGGACGAACAACUGAGAGCUCAUCCGCAUACCCGGAGACACAACUUGCAAUGACUUGGGAAGGAACUCGGUCGCAAUAUUAUUACCAAAUGCAAAGGGGUAUGACAUGAAGGAAUGCGAAGCACCAGAAUCAAAUAACAGUUUAGCAGAAAUAUCAUUGACGAGGAGGUUACCCAUGAUCACAUCUGACGAAUUCUCUGCUUCAGUUGCGUUCACCAUGUUGACUCGAGCUGAUCUGGGGUUGAACUUGACAAGAGCAUUGCUUGGAGGUUUGCCUGGCGGAGGAGGCGGCAGUCGGAGCUGAGAAGUACAUUUGUUGGCAUAGUGACCUUUCUGCCCACACUUGUGACAAGUGACAUCUGCUGGCUGCCGGAACUGAGUCUGAGGAGGCCCUUGCUUCUGAUGUUGGUAUCUCUGCUGAAAGCCAGGGUUGGGCGGGUGGGAAGAACCACGACCACCUGAGUGCUUAAGCUGCUGCGAGUGUCGAGGAGGAGGAGGAGAAACCCAAAAACCUCUGUUGCUUCUGAACCACCUGAGUCGAGGAAGAGCUGGAAUCUCUGAAGCGCUUCUUGGAAUUUUCCACCCUGAGCAAGGCUGCCUCUGCUCUGAGAGCUAGGUUGUAGAACUUGUCAAACUCCUCCGGAUCGUGCAAGGCAAGAGCUAACUGCAAGUCUUAUUUCAAGCCACCCCUGAACUGAUAAAUCUUGCUCUUCUGAUCCGGGAUAUCCUGCAGCGCACAACAGGCCAGCUCGUGGAACUCAACAUUGUACUUGUACACGGAAUUGCCGCCCUGCUUCAAACGCCUGAACUUCUCACGCAUCUCCUCCACAAAAAUGGAAGGGAUGUAGUAGGACCUGAAGUCACGACAGAACUCAUCCCAAGACAUCACCCUGGCGCCUGUGGAGUCCUUGAGCUGCUGCCACCAUAUAGAAGCCUGUCCCUUCAACUGAAACGUUGCAAACUUGACAUAGUCCUCCGGACGCACAUUGCUACACUCGAAAUGUUUGUUCAUAUCAUGGAUCCAAUCUUCUGCAUCAAAUGGCUGGUCGCAUGAAGUGAACGUCUUUGGCUGGUUCGACAGAAACUGACUCAGACUCGCAAACUGAUUUCCACCAUGUUGAAAAUUGCCUGGCUGUUGGUUGGCUCUCUCUUGCAGCAACUGAAUCAGCAUCUGGGUGUUUGCAUUAGUAGCUGCCAUCACUGCUUGCCAGGCCUCUGCAGGAGGAGGCGGCGGCGGCGGAGGGGGAGGAGGUGGAGGCGGCAUAUCCCCACGCCCUGGGUUCUGACGAGUCGGUGGAGCCAUCCUCAAGACGGACAGCGUAUUAGUCCACAGAAUAAUUGAAGAUAUUGCUGAAUCAAAAGACAGAAUAUCUGAACAGAAUUUAGCAAUUGCACUUGAACAACAUAGCAAGAAUGCAUCCUCAAAGUGACGGACGACAAAAUUCCGAUAAGGACCACUUCAAACAAGUGUGAGCUAGAAUUUCUCGGAACAAACAUAUGAUCGAGAUUUCCCCAACCUCAAUCAUGCGUCUGUAGGAAGAUAUUCCUAUAAGAUACUACUUGAUAUCCCACCUAUGAAUUCCCGAAAUAACUGGUCAUGCAAUCUGGUACACGGAUACAAGGAGUAUUUCACACAACUCCCAAACUAACCCGUCACCUGUAUCACAUCCUUCAACACACAACCAGCAUCUCGGACCUUCAUCUACAACAGACCCUCGUGAUCACAACGAUACCAAGUGUGGUAGUACCCCCGAACAAUCUGUACCAGUACUGGGGACAUCGGGGUUAUCUCACCACUACCAGUAUUGAAGCAAUAACGAACAUCCUUCGUUCUUAGAUACUCAGAAAUCUGAAUGAUGGUGAUGUGCGCAAGAAUCCCCCGGAGCUCAACUCCCCUGAGACUUAAAGAAGAUAGGAGGCACCAGGACAGGACUCCGUCACAUCGAAAUCAUAUAGAUUUCACAAAUUCCCGCGUGAUCCUAAAAAAAAAUUUGAGCGAGAAAAGUAGAGUUAAGGAUUUCCUAAGCCGGGAACCUCACCAGAGCAUAGAAGAGGAGAAAAAAGAAUCCUACUCUCCGAUGUAACUAAGACUCAAAACAUUUCUAGACUUGACUCGGCCAAGUACGAUCACACAAAGGCUCCUAUGGUCAUAAGGCUCUGAUUACCAACUUGUAACGACCAAGAUGCGGUCCUUUCCGAUCUGGGGAUCGAGGCCCCGAAUUGGAAAGGAGCGCAUCUAAGCGUCUCGCAAAUAGGUAACACAACACAUACAUAAUAAUAAAGAUAGACAAUCAGGGGUUCAAUUGCCUUCUCAUAAAUAUAUAUCAGAGUACAUCACGCAUACAACCAAAGUAGUUCCGCUACGGACUACAAAACAUAGAAAGGCUAUGCUACCCUGCCUGCAGGCCCACGAUCACGACCACGCCUCAAUCUUCUGGAUAGUUCACAUACAGGCGGUCUGUCUCCUCAUCGUACUGCCACACCAGCUGCGUGCCAUCGGGAUCAUCUGUCUCUGGGGUACCUGAACCUGUUGGUAUUGUGGAGGAAUCCGUGAGCCACAGGGACUCAGCAAUCUAAGACCUUGGUGCCAGAACUAGUCAAGUUAUUAGGUAGGAUAAGGUGAAGUGUUUAAGGUUGCAGCAUCCUAAGCUUGAUUUGGUGGCUAACUUACGUAGAACAUUUAUGAAGGUGGUCUAUUCUAGCGGUCGUGUAUACUUGAUCAUUAAGUGAUCCUGAACACCUACCUACGUCAUUCAUAACCCCACCAUGUUUCCGAUCGAAGAGAGAUCUUCGAGGGGACAGUCACGGUUACGCACACAGUUGGCAAUUUUAUUAGCUUUUGUUUAAGUUAUCUAAUACCGGAUGUUAACAAAAUAUUCCAAGUUGCCACAUAACCGCGGGCACGGCUUUCCGAAAGAUUAAACCCUGCAGGGGUGCUCCAACUNNNNNNNNNNNNNNNNNNNNNNNNNNNNNNNNNNNNNNNNNNNNNNNNNNNNNNNNNNNNNNNNNNNNNNNNNNNNNNNNNNNNNNNNNNNNNNNNNNNNNNNNNNNNNNNNNNNNNNNNNNNNNNNNNNNNNNNNNNNNNNNNNNNNNNNNNNNNNNNNNNNNNNNNNNNNNNNNNNNNNNNNNNNNNNNNNNNNNNNNNNNNNNNNNNNNNNNNNNNNNNNNNNNNNNNNNNNNNNNNNNNNNNNNNNNNNNNNNNNNNNNNNNNNNNNNNNUCACCGGGAUUCCUAUAUGCAAGAUAUACCACUAAGGUAAGGCAAGACUAGCAGGACCUCCCGAUGUGUCGACGACCCUGCUAAGAGCCGCGUAUCUCAGUCUCAGGACACGCCGAAUGGAACUACCUACAGGUACCAAACUGUAACGACCAUGAUGCGGUCCUUUUCGAUCUGGGGGUCGAGGCCCUCGAAUAGGAAAGAAGCGCAUCUAAGCGUUUCGCAAGCAAGUAACAUAGCACAAAAUAAUAAUACAAGUAGACAAUUCGGGAUUCAACUGUCUUCUUAUUAAUAACUCAGAGUACAACACAGAUACAAUCAAGGUANNNNNNNNNNNNNNNNNNNNNNNNNNNNNNNNNNNNNNNNNNNNNNNNNNNNNNNNNNNNNNNNNNNNNNNNNNNNNNNNNNNNNNNNNNNNNNNNNNNNNNNNNNNNNNNNNNNNNNNNNNNNNNNNNNNNNNNNNNNNNNNNNNNNNNNNNNNNNNCAGAUACAAUCAAGGUAAUUCCGCUACGGACUACAAAACAUGGAAAAUGCUAUGCUACCCUGCUGCAGGCCUACGAUCACGACCACGCCUCAGUCCUCGGGAUAGUUCACGUAGAGGCAGUCUGUCUUCUCGUCGUACUGCCACGCCAGCUGGGUGACGUCGGGAUCAUCUGUCUCUGGAGUACCUGUUCCUGCUAGGAGUUUUGGAGGAAUCCGUGAGCCACUGCUGGAUUCCUUAGAUCUCGUCGGAUUCCUUAGAGGAAAACCUCAACUCCAGGGGAAACCAAAGCUUCACUGGGAUUCCUAUACGCAAGAUAUACCGCUAAGGUAAGGCAAGGCUAGCAGGACCUCCCGACGUGUUGACGACCCUGAUAAGAGCCGCGUAUCUCUAUCUCAGGACACGCCGGAUGAGUCACACUACAGGUAUACCAAACCUCAGGUUGCCCUGUGGUGGCCCCAUAGUCUGCCCAGCUUGGACCAACGCUCAUGAGGAGCACUGGCCCGGGUUGUUGAUUAGAAUCCUCGGGGUAGCUAUUCCCUAUGCANUGAAAAUUCCUGCACCUGAGUUUCUGCUUCUGUUCUGAAGCUUUUUGACAGCAAUCAAAACACAUCCUACUGGACUCAAAAUGAUUUGAAAAUUGACAGGAAGCUUCACAAACAUAUCAGAUUCAAAAUCUUAGCACUGAACUAGGGCUAGUUUGCAACAGAAUGACCAGCACAUCCUCAUCUAUAGGGGAAGAAAAUGUUUCCAGAAUCCCAGACUUAGUGAAAUUUCAGAGUUCACUAAUCUGGAAUUUUUCCAGCCACAUGCCCACUUUGUCUAGGCAUAGUUUGCACACACACAACACAAAGAGGUAAUUGACACCACUAUGGUGUAAAGCAAAACCCCUUCUACUAUCAUACAAAAACUCAUGCCCUUGGGCUCCACCUAUUCCAUGGAAUCAAGGUUCAAACUUUCAACAAAACUGUAUAUGCAACUCCAUAAAGUAUUCUUCUAAGAUAACAACUACAUAGGUUGAGUUCAUGUGCACAAUGACAAAGUGACAUGGGGGUUUGAACCCCAUGUUUGUGUCAUGCACAUCAACAACACCAACACAUAUACCACACUAUCACUAGCAUCAACCACAACAAAUAAUAUAACUCCGAUGCUAACAAGAGAGUAUGCACACCCUCACAUAUGGGCAUGUGAUGGUGCACACUCUCACAUGCACCACAAGUAACACCCUUGGAGUCAUGUCACCCACAAGGUGCAACCCCCAUAAGAAUCUUCCCAUACUUAACUAGCAACUCCACCUAUUCCAUGCUAAUCAUAACUAGCAACCUAGUGCAUCACAUACACACCAAAUACAUGUCGUGAGGGGGAGGCACCCACACACACUACAAAUAUGACCAUCACCAAAGUAUGCUAGGCUACCCAAGUUGCAACAGAGAGGAGGGAAAAAUAAUAACUGCCACAUGAUGUAACAAUAACAUGGCAUCACAUCUAGCAAUACAAAAGAAAACAACAAGGGAAACAACAACAACAACAAAAAAUAAAUAAAAGGGGGUGAGAGGGAAUCGAACCCUGCACCCUCUGCCUCUGUAUUGCAACACAACCACCCUGCUAGCCUGCAACAGCUCGACACAGAAGGGCAGACUAGCAGGUUAAACAAUUCUGCUGGGAUAAACUACUGUACAGGGAAAAAACAGAAAAUCAAAACAGCACCGAGGGGGGGAUCGAACCCACACCCUACUCACCAGGAAGACAACACCACUACCACUGGACUACGGCACGGCAUCUGAACUAAUACGCGCAAGAAAGAAAGAAGAAGGGACUCUCCUGUGCUUAACUGCUACCCUGAUCUACUCUACUCGCGUGAGACACAGCAGGCAGCGCGGAUCGAAGUACCACGGCCCAACGUAGACAGGGUUACCUGGCCGCAGCGCUGCUAGCACGAGGGGAAAGGAAGUCUCCCUCUGUGUAACACACCCCCAUGCACUGCCUCCUGCAGAUCCUACCGCUACCACUGCAACCUACUACAGCUGCUACUCGAACAAGUCGGAUCCGAGCCGAACUACGGAGGAGGAAGGAAGGGGGAGGUGCAGCCUCACCCUGGGAAGGAAGGGGGUCCGAUCUGACGGGGAGGAAGCCGGACCGGAGGGGAAGAAGGCGUGCCGAGGUAGUUCCUGCCGUAGACCGAAGUAGAGGAAGCAGAACACCAGGUUCGCGCCNNNNNNNNNNNNNNNNNNNNNNNNNNNNNNNNNNNNNNNNNNNNNNNNNNNNNNNNNNNNNNNNNNNNNNNNNNNNNNNNNNNNNNNNNNNNNNNNNNNNNNNNNNNNNNNNNNNNNNNNNNNNNNNNNNNNNNNNNNNNNNNNNNNNNNNNNNNNNNNNNNNNNNNNNNNNNNNNNNNNNNNNNNNNNNNNNNNNNNNNNNNNNNNNNNNNNNNNNNNNNNNNNNNNNNNNNNNNNNNNNNNNNNNNNNNNNNNNNNNNNNNNNGCUCGACGGAGCACGCAGGGGUAGACGCGGCGAGUCCCUUCUCUGCUCUCUCUGCUAUUCCUACAGAAGGCUUACCGCGAGGGAAGGAAGGGAGGAAAGAUGGAGAUGGGGAGAGGUGGCGGCGGCGGCUGAGGGGGAAGAGAAACCCUAGGCAGCUAGGGCACGGACGCCCACGCUUUAUGGGGUGCCUCGAUGGCUGUGCCUGACGGCGCACGCCCUCGCUCGCUCUGCUGACGAGACGGAAAGGAGACAUGCAGCCAACGGCGUUAGAGAAAAGAGAAGGAAGCGUCGGGAUGGGCUACUGGAGCGAGAGAGGAACAAGCUGGGCCACGGGAGGGGGUUGUGGCCCAAGUUGGCGCCAAGAAGAGAGAAAGAAGCCCUGAGGGUGUAAUCUAAUUAAAGAAAGGUCUGAAAGAAAGGAAAAAAAAUACAAAGCCAGCUAGUAGGGAUAAAAUCAAAAGAAAAUACCCCCUGGCCUUAGAAAAAUAUGACUUAUUUAAAUAAAACAAGUACAAGAUUUUUAGGAGCAACCAAUAUUUCAAAAAACAGAAUUAACGCCUCUGUUUUGUUAUCAUUGCACCUGCUUAAAACAUUUUGUUAAAAACACCAACUUGCACCACUUAACACCCACAAUAUCCCCUAAAUAACAGACUUUUUCAAACCAGUUUAGGAGCAAGUGGAAAUAGCACAUGUGACAUCAUCAUAACUCUGACAAUGUGGACCCACAUGCAACAGAUUCGAAAUAGGGUAGGUUCUACACUUGGGGCAUUACAAACUCUCCCACACUACAAAGAAGAUCUCGACCUCGAGAUCUAAGACUGAAAGAAAUCGGGAAAUUCGGAACGGAGGUGAUCCUCGCGUUCCCACGUAGCCUCUUUAUCGGAAUGGUGUGACCACUGCACUUUGAGAAAUUUGACAGUCUUGUUACGGGUCUUGCGCUCAGUCGCCUCGAGAACUGCAACUGGAUGCUCACGAUAAGAAAGGUCAGGCUGAAGAUCGAUAUCUUGAAGAUGCACAGUGCGCUCGGGGGUCUUGAAACACCUCCGNNNNNNNNNNNNNNNNNNNNNNNNNNNNNNNNNNNNNNNNNNNNNNNNNNNNNNNNNNNNNNNNNNNNNNNNNNNNNNNNNNNNNNNNNNNNNNNNNNNNNNNNNNNNNNNNNNNNNNNNNNNNNNNNNNNNNNNNNNNNNNNGUCUUGAAACACCUCCGGAGCUGAGAAACAUGGAACACAUCAUGGACAUUUGCAAAGGUUGACGGAAGCUCGAGCUGGUACGCAAGGUCGCCCCUCUUGCCAACCACUCUGAGUGGACCAACGAAACGAGGUGCAAGCUUGCCUUUGAUGCCAAAACGCUGCAUACCCUUCAUAGGCGACACCUUGAGAUAGACAAAAUCAUCAAGCUCGUACGACAUGUCACGGUGAUUGCUAUCGUAAUAGCUCUUCUGCCGGGACUGAGCUGCUCUGAGGUUGUCGCGAAUGAUCCGACACAUCUCCUCGGCUUCUUCUAUCAUAUCAUUGCCAAGGAUCUGACGCUCGCCUGUCUGGGACCAGUUGAGCGGAGUACGGCACUUCCUGCCAUAGAGAAUUUCAAACGGAGCCUUGCCAGAACUAGCUUGAUAACUGUUGUUAUACGAGAACUCCGCAAAAGGCAGGCAAUCCUCCCACUUCAUGCCAAAAGAGAUAACACAGGCUCUCAGCAUGUCCUCAAGAACUUGAUUCACUCUCUCCACUUGACCACUAGUCUGCGGAUGGAACGCUGUGCUGAAGCGGAUCUUCGUGCCCAUAGCAGACUGAAAGGAGUCCCAGAACUUGGAAGUGAAGAUACUUCCGCGAUAUGAUGAGAUCAUCAUAGGUACGCCGUGCAAAGAGACAAUCCUGGAGGUAUACAACUCUGCCAGCUGAGCUGCUGAAAUGGACUCCUUGACUGGAAGGAAAUGCGCCACUUUACUCAAUUUGUCGAUGACGACAAAGAUAGCAUCGUUGCCCUUCUUGGACUUUGGAAACCCGGUGACGAAGUCCAUCUCAAUGUGAUCGAACUUCCACUCGGGAAUCGGCAAAGGCUGCAAGAGGCCCGCUGGUCUUUGAUGUUCUGCUUUCACCCUUCGACAUACAUCACACUCGUUUACGAAUUGUGCAAUUUCACGUUUCAUACGGGUCCACCAGAAAGUAUGCUUCAAGUCAUGGUACAUUUUGGAACUUCCAGGAUGAAUAGAAAGCAGAGAGUUAUGAGCUUCUUCCAUGAUCACCUUCCUGAGAUCAACUUUCGGGAUGACAAGGCGGUCCUCGAAAAACAAAGUGUCCCUGGCAUCCACAGUGAAACACUUAUACUUGGGAAGACUCUUACCCACGCCAAUCUUGACCUUCUUCACCACAGCGUCAAGUAGCUGAGCUGCUCUGGCCUGAUCUUCCAAGGUAGGAGAGAUCUGAAGGUUCGCAAGAAAACCCUGAGGUACUAGCUGAAGGUUGAGCUUCCUGAAAGACUCACAAAGACCCGGCUGGAGGGGUUGCAGAAUCAGACUGUUGCAAUAUGCCUUCCUGCUCAAUGCAUCUGCCACAACAUUUGCCUUGCCUGGCGUGUACUCCACACUCGGAUUAAAAUCCUGGAGCAUUUCCACCCAACGUGUUUGCCGAAGAUUCAAGUUAGGCUGAGUGAAGAUGUACUUGAGACUCUUGUGAUCGGUGAAAACUUCAACCUUACGUUCCAACAGGAGAUGUCUCCAAGUCAUCAAGGCGUGUACCACAGCUGCUAGCUCAAGAUCAUGCACAUGAUAGUUCUUCUCCGCAGGCUUCAACUGCCUGGAGGUAUAAGCAACCACCUUCUUAUCUUGCAUCAGGACUGCACCAAGACCCUGGAGAGAAGCGUCGCAAAAGACGUGGUAUAGCUUGGAAUCAUCCGGAGGGGCCAAGACCGGAGUGGAGGUAAGCUUCUCUUUGAGUGUAUCAAAGGCCAGCUGACACUCUGGAGACCAAGCAUACUUAACACCCUUCUUAAGAAGACCUGAGAGCGGCUUGGCGAUCUUGGAGAAGUUCUCAAUGAAUCUUCUGCAAUAUCCGGCAAGACCGAGAAAGUUUCGAAGUUGCUUCACAUUCUGUGGAGGUUCUCAUUCAACAAUGGCUUGAACCUUGGACGGGUCAACCUUAAUGCCCUCGGCAGAGAUAAUAUGCCCAAGAUAAACCACUUCUUUCAGCCAGAACUCACACUUGGAAAACUUGGCAUACAGCUUGUAUUCUCUCAGUUUAUCAAGCACCAACCUGAGAUGUUUCUCAUGUUCUUCCUCAUCCUCAGAAAAGACCAGAAUGUCGUCGAGAUAGAGCAAGACAAACUCAUUCUUGAAUGACGAGAAAAUAUAGUUCAUCAAUCGGCAAAAAGUCGGAGGAGCAUUAGCCAGACCAAAAGACAUGACCGCAUACUCAUACGAGCCAAAACUGGUCAUGAAUGCCGUCUUUGGAAUGUCUUCCUCGCGAAUGCGAAUUGAUGAUAGCCCAUUCUGAGAUCAAGCUUGGAGAAUACUUUAGCACCUUUCAACUAUUCGAACAACUCAGUUAUGUUCGGAAGUGGAUAUUUGUUCCUGAUUGUCUUCUUAUUCAAUGGACGGUAAUCGACACACAGCCGGUCCGUGCCAUCCUUCUUCUUGACAAACAGAACACCACAGCCCCACGGAGACAAGCUCGGUCUGAUCAAACCCAAACGCUCCUGCUCCUCGAGUUGCCUCUUAAGUUCCUUCAAUUCUUCUGGACCCAACUUGUACGGCUAUUUGCACACUGGCUAUGUGCCUGGCUCAAGCUCAAUGACAAACUCAACUUCACGGUGCGGAGGCAUGCCUGGCAGCUCUUCAGGAAACACAUCUUGAUAUUCGCAGACCACUGGGACUUGCUCAAUAGGAUUGAUCUCACCCUUUUCAUUCAAGGAGAACAGACGGAUUGUAUCAUCGCGCGUCGCGAAUAUAAUCACGUCUUCCGAAGAGUGGGUAAGCUUCACUUCUUUGGCUUCACAAUCAAUUGACGCCUUGUUCAUGGCCAACCAGUCCAUACCAAGGAUCAAAUCAAUGUCGGAAUUACCCAAGACAAUAGGAGAUGCCAGAAAAGCAUAAGCGCCCAUCUUGACAGAAACAUCCGGGAGCAACCCAACGAGAACUCAUAAGCAUGCCCGGAGAAACAAUAUCGAAAGACCUGGCCAACUCUUGAAGAUGGAAACCGUGCUUUGCCACAAACGGAUAAGACAAGAAAGAAUGCGAUGCACCAGAAUCAAACAAGACUUUAGCAGGAAAAUCAUUGACUAGGAGAUUACCCAUGAUCAUAUCCGAUGAAUUUUCUGCCUCAGCUGCAUUCACCAUGUUGACUCGAGCUGAUCCGGGGUUGAACUUCACGAGAGCGUUGCUUGGAGGCUUGCCUGGAGGAGGAGGAGGCAGACGGAGCUGAGAAGUGCAUUUGUUGGCAUAGUGACCCUUCUGCCCACAUUUGUGACAAGUGACAACUGCUGGCUGCCGGAACUGAAUCUAAGGAGGCCCUUGCUUCUGAUGCUGAUAUCUCUGCUGGAAGCCAGGGUUGGGUGGGUGGGAAGAACCACGUCCACCUAAGUGCUUCGGCUGCUGAGAGUGCCGAGGAGGAGGAGGAGAAACCCAAAACCUCUGUUGCUUCUGAACCACCUGAGUCGAGGAAGAGCUGGAAUCUCUGAAGCGCUUCUUGGAGUUCUCCACCCUGAGCAAGGCUGCCUCUGCUCUGAGAGCUAAGUUGUAGAACUUGUCAAACUCCUCAGGAUCGUGCAAAGCAAGUGCUAACUGCAAAUCCUCCUUCAAGCCACCCCUGAACUGAUAGAUCUUGCUCUUCUGAUCCGGAACAUCCUGCAGCGCGUAACGGGCCAGCUCAUGGAACUCAACAUUGUACUUGUACACAGAAUUGCUGCCCUGCUUCAAACGCCUGAACUUCUCACGCAUCUCCUCAACAAAGCUGGACGGGAUGUAGUGGGACCUGAAGUCACGACAAAACUCGUCCCAAGUCAUCAACCUGCCACCUCAACUCGCCCCAAGUCCUUAAGCUGCUGCCACCAAAUAGAAGCCUGCCCCUUCAACUGGAAUGUUGCAAACUUGACAUAGUCCUCCGGACGCACAUUGCUACACUCGAAAUGCUUGUUCAUAUCACGGAUCCAAUCUUCCGCAUCAAACGGCUGGUCGCAAGAAGUGAACGUCUUAGGCUGGUUUGACAGGAACUGACUCAGACUGGCGAAGUGAUUGCCACCCUGCUGGAAAUUGCCCUGCUGAUGAUUGGCUCUGUCCUGGAUCAACUGCAACAGCAUAUGAGUGUUUGCAUUAGUAGCUGCCAUCAUCGCCUACCAGGCCUCUGCAGGAGGAGGCGGCGGCGGCGGAGGAGGAGGAGGUGGAGGCGGCAUAUCCUCACGUGCUGGGGUCUGACGAGUCGGUGGAGCCAUCCUGAAGUCGGACAGCAUAUUAGUCCACAGAAUAAUUGAAGAUAUUGCUAAAUCAAAAGACAUAAUAUCUGAAUAUAAUUUAGCAUUGCACUCGAACAACAUAGCAAGAGUGCAUCCUCAAAGUAACAGACGACAAAAUUCCGAUAAGGGCCACUGCAAACAAGUGUGAGCUAAACUGCUCGGAACAAACAUAUGAUCAAGAUUUCCCCAAACCUCAAUCAAGCGUCUGUAGGAAGAUAGUCCUAUAAGAUACUACUAGAUAUCCCACCUAGUUCAACAAAACAAAGGGUGCGGCUUGCAAUUAGCCAGAACAAACUUAUGAGAAAGAUUUCGUCCGAUAUUUUCAUGGACAGGAUCGCACGGGCUCGAUUUUACAGUAGCCAUCAAGUGCAAGGCAGUGCACCUGACAUACGAAGCGUCCCCGAGUCGUAGCAAGCUACAAGGACUCUUUAAGACACAACGUGUACCGCUGUAAGUCGACCGUGAACAAACGAAUCCACUAGAUGUCGAACCCCAACCUAACAUCAAGCAUUUGUUGGAAGAUUGUCCCAUAAGUAACUACUUGAAUUCCCACCUAUGAAUUCCCGAAAUAACUGGUCAUGCAAUCAGGCACACGGAUACAAGGAGUAUUUCACACAACUCCUAACUAACCCGUCACCUGUAUCACAUCCUUCAACACACGACCAGUAUCUCGGACCUUCAUCUACAACAGAUCCUCGUGAUCACAACGAUACAAAGUGUGGUAGUACCCCCGAACAAUCUACACCAGUACUGGGGACAUCGGGGUUAUCUCACCACUACCCGUAUUGAAGCCAUAACAAACACCCUCCGUUCUUAGAUACUCAGAAAUCUGAAUGAUGGCGAUGUGCGCGAUAAUCCCUGGAGCUCAAGUCCCCUGAUACUUAGAGCAGAUAAGAGGCACCAGGACAUGAUUCCGUCACAUCGAAAUCAUAUAGAUUUCACAAAUACCCGCGUGAUCCUAAAAAAAAUUUGAGCGAGAAAAGGAGUAGAGUUAAAGAUUUCCUAAUACGGGAACCUCACCAGAGCAAAGAAGAGGAGAAAAAGAAACCUACUCUCCGAUAUAACUAAGACUCAAAACAUUUUCUAGACUCGACUCGGCCACAUACGAUCACACAAAGGCUCAUAUGGUCGUAAGGCUCUGAUUACCAACUUGUAACGACCAUGAUGCGGUCCUUUCCGAUCUGGGGGUCGAGGCCCCCAAAUAGGAAAGAAGCGCAUCUAAGCGUUUCGCAAGCAAGUAACAUAGCACAAAAUAAUAAUACAAGUAGACAAUUCGGGAUUCAACUGUCUUCUUAUUAAUAACUCAGAGUACAACACAGAUACAAUCAAGGUAGUUCCGCUACGGACUACAAAACAUGGUGGCUAACUUACGCUUGACAGAGUGGCUAACUUACGCAAAGUGGAAGUAAAGGUGGUCUACACUACCGGUCGGACUUACUUGAUCACUAAGUGAGCCUGAACACCUACCUACGGCAUUCAUAACACCACCGUAUUCUCGAUCGAAGAGAGAUCUUCGAAGGGACAGUCACGGUUACGCACACAGUUGGCAGUUUUAUUAGUUUAUGUUUAAUUUCUCUAAAACCGGAUGUUAACAAAAUAUUCCAAGUUGCCACAUAACCGCGGGCACGGCUUUCCGAAAGAUUAAACCCUGCAGGGGUGCUCCAACUGGUCCAUUACAAACGAACACAGGCCGCAAAGGCAUCCUCUAUCACGAAUCUCGUGAUCUCGUCGGAUUCCUUAGAGGAAAACCUCAACUCUAGGGGAAACCAAAGCUUCACUGGGAUUCCUAUACGCAAGAUAUACCGCUAAGGUAAGGCAAGGCUAGCAGGACCUCCCGACGUGUUGACGACGCUGAUAAGAGCCGCGUAUCUCAGUCUCAGGACACGCCGGAUGAGUCACACUACAGGUAUACCAAACCUCAGGUUGCCCUGUGGUGGCCCCAUAGUCUGCCCAGUUUGGACCAACGCUCAUGAGGAGCACUGGCCCGGGUUGUUGAUUAGAAUCCUCGAGAUAGCUAUUCCCUAUGCANNNNNNNNNNNNNNNNNNNNNNNNNNNNNNNNNNNNNNNNNNNNNNNNNNNNNNNNNNNNNNNNNNNNNNNNNNNNNNNNNNNNNNNNNNNNNNNNNNNNNNNNNNNNNNNNNNNNNNNNNNNNNNNNNNNNNNNNNNNNNNNNNNNNNNNNNNNNNNNNNNNNNNNNNNNNNNNNNNNNNNNNNNNNNNNNNNNNNNNNNNNNNNNNNNNNNNNNNNNNNNNNNNNNNNNNNNNNNNNNNNNNNNNNNNNNNNNNNNNNNNNNNNNNNNNNNNNNNNNNNNNNNNNNNNNNNNNNNNNNNNNNNNNNNNNNNNNNNNNNNNNNNNNNNNNNNNNNNNNNNNNNNNNNNNNNNNNNNNNNNNNNNNNNNNNNNNNNGUGGAAAUAGCACAUGUAGAAAAAAGAGAGAAAAGGUAUGAAGAUGCUCUUACCCCUCUCUCUUUUUCAAACCAGUACGACUCCAUCAACCGCGUUCUAGCAACGCUUCCGCUUAGCGAUCUUCAAAGGUAUGAAGAUGCUCUUACCCCUCUCUCGUUGCUGGUCUCUCCAUAGGAAGAUCUGAAUAUGCGUAGGAAAAUUUUAAAUUUAUGCUACGUUACCCAAGACUUAGCCCCUGCCGCAACCUCACCACUUAACCAUGCCUCACGCAUUAAGCUUUGCUAGUCUUGAUACAUUUGGAAAUGAGAUUGCUGAGUCCCCUGUGGCUCACAGAUUACUACAACACCAGUUGCAGGUACAGGUAAAGGUUACUUGACGCGAGCGCGUUGAUUGUUCAUUUGUAGUUGCUUCUUCUUCUUCUUCUUCACCGAUCUAGGAUGGGUUCCAGGCCGGUAGCCUGGGAUAGCAAGGAUGGAUGUCGUUCUUCUUUUGUCGUUUGUUUUCAUCUGUAGUCGGACCAUGCUCUUACUCUUGAUGAAUAUGUACUGUACUGCUGUGACUCUGAUGUAGCUUAUGGCGAGUGUAAGCCAAUUCUAUAUAUAUAUCUCAUCUUUUCAGUACAUGUACUUGUAACGAUAUCCAUUCUUGCGACACGACGAGAUGCGCUUCUAUCCCUGACGAGGCCUUCGUGCCAAAUUGAUGAUAGGGUCGCAUCUUGGGCGUGACAGUAGUCCUGCAAAAAGCGCUUCGACAAGACCUUCAACAACAAUCCCAAGCGCCAUGACAAGUCUGCAAACACGGUGUCUGCCUCCCUCUGGUGUGACAAUAUAGGUGCUACCUACUUAUCUGCGAAUCCUAUUUUUCAUGCACGGACAAAGCAUAUUGAAAUUGAUUAUCACUUUGUGCGUGAACGGGUUGCUCAAAAACUGCUCAAUAUCAGGUUCAUUCCCUCUGGUGAUCAAUUGGCUGAUGGGUUUACUAAACCUCUUACUCUUCGCCAGUUGGAGGUUUUUCGUCGCAAUCUCAACUUGGAUAAGUUGUGAUUGAGGGGGAGUGUUAGACAUUGUAUUAUCACGUAUACACACGGUACAUGUAUAAACCGUGUGUAUCUCGUUGUAGGCGUGCGUGGGUAAGUUUAAGUUGAGGAUGUCUUGUUAGGAUCUAUCUCUUGUGUUUAAACUUGUAGGUAAGAUAGAUCCUAACUCCUUGUUGUAAUCUCCUUGGCCUUGUGCCCUUUAUUAAGACGCACACGUCCCUGCUAACGCAUACGCUUCAAGCCUCAUAUUCUCACAAUAUUGAUAGGUUUUCGAUGAACUUUUCUUUCACUAAAAAUAUCAAAAGAAAAAACUGGACAGAAAAACCAUGCCUCUCACGAAAAAAGAGAGAGCAGAAAACGCGUUUGUUCCCUUUCGGGGCUCUCGCGAAGGCAAAACCGUGUCUUUCGCGAAAAAAACAUAAAACGCGUUUUUCCCUUUCUGGAAGGUACGGACGUGCCUCUCGCAAAGGCAAAACCGUGCCUUUCGAGGAAGCAAAACCGUGCCUCUCGCAAAAAAACAACAGAAAACAUGUUUUUUCCCUUUUUGAAAGGCACAGACGUGCCUCUCGCGAAGGCAAACUCGUGCCUUUCGCGGAAGCAAAACCAUGCCUCUCGUAAAAAUAAAUAGAAAACACGUUAUUUUUUCUUUUCCGAAAGGCACGGGCGUGCCUCUUGCGAAGGCAAAAACCGUGCCUUUCGCGAAAGCAAAAUCAUGCCUAACGCAAAAAAAAGAGAGAACACUUUUUUUCUCUUUCCGAGAGGCACGGCCAUGCCUCUCGCGAAAGCAGAACCGUGGUUCACGCCAAAAACUGAAAACAUGUUUUUUCGCGUAAAAAACAGAAAACACUUUUUUUCGCAAAAAAAAAAAAAAUUCUUUCCAAAAGUUACGAAAGAUUGGUGGAAAACCAAAACACCAAAAAAAUACGGGAAAAAAUCAUUAAAAAAAAGGCGAAAACGCGUGCGAAAAUAUUAAAAAAAAUCCGAAGGAAACGCUUAGAACGCUACACGUGACGACAGCUAGGAACGCGUCAAGUGACGGCGCGCUGGAGCUGUCACUGAGUGCUCGCUAACUAAUUGCUUCCUAAACGUUUUCACUGUAAGCUUUUUCAUCUAGCCGUUUCUGGGUUUGUCUCAAAAAAAUAAUAAUUCUAGACGUUUCUGGGAGCAGCUACUUGAGUAUUUGUGGGGCUCCCACAAGAGUCACUUUUAUUGGGCUUGAGUGCGUCGAUUUCCUUUUUUAUUUUCUGUAUGCACUUUUGGGAUUUUUCUCAGUUUUUAUUAGGUUUUCAAAUAUAUUUUUUGACUUUUUGUCUGAAAAAUGUGUGUUUUUUUUGCAAGAGGCGUGGAUUUGCUUCUGAUGAAGGUAAAAUUUUUCUUCUGCAAGAGGUAUUAUCUUUCCGAAAAAGAAAAAACAAUAUGUUUUUCUUUCUUUUACGAGGGGCAGAUUUGCUUUUGUGAAUGACACGAUUGUAACUUUUUGGAUAAACAAAAAAGAAAUAAAAAGCAUCAUUCCGGUUCUUUUCUGGUUGUUUUUUUUAUAAUUUUUGUUUGUCAAAAUCUAUUAAUAUGAGAUCUAGUUUCGAAAUCUCGACGCGAGGAAUUCAACAAUGACAACGAUUUAUGAUUUAGACGCAACAUAUCGAAUAAAAGAGUCUAUGAAAAAAUAAGGGGAACGCUACGCAUCCGCCAGAUGAUUUUUAAAAAUUAUCCGUCACCUAGCUAGCCGUCAGAUGGCGAUCUAACGCCCUGCAUCCCCGCCGCAUGGUUCUGAAACGACGCUCGAGUUGCGGAAACUUUCGCUUUGUUGCAAGAAAUAAACUUUGGAUCUGUUAAUUCCUGAAACAACGGUCGAGUUUUAGAAACAAUUUGCUUGUUGCAGGAUUUUUUUCUUCGUUUUUGCGGAAGAAUUUUUUACAACAAAGGUCAUGUUUCAGGAAUUUUUGCAACACCUAGCAAGCAGGGAAACUCUUGGCGGCGGGGCGGCCGGCGAGCUCUAGGCGACGGGGCGGCCGGCGAGCUCUUGGCGGCGGGGCGGGGCGGCAGGCGAGCUCUAGGCGGCGGGGCGGCCGGCGGGGCGGCCGGCGGGGCGGCCGGCGAGCUCUUGGCGGCGGGGCGGGGCGGCCGGCGAGCUCUAGGCGGCGGGGCGGCCGGCGAGCUCUAGGCGGCGAGGCGGCCGGCGGCGGGGCGGCCGGCGAGCNNNNNNNNNNNNNNNNNNNNNNNNNNNNNCAUGCCUGGGUCCAUCGUUCUGCAACUACUUCCAAGUUGCAGGAACAACGUCCUGAAACAAUGGAGUUGUUUCAGGAAACGGGUCACGGCUCGUCCGCCCGCCCACGUGGCGAACAAAGGAGACGGNNNNNNNNNNNNNNNNNNNNNNNNNNNNNNNNNNNNNNNNNNNNNNNNNNNNNNNNNNNNNNNNNNNNNNNNNNNNNNNNNNNNNNNNNNNNNNNNNNNNNNNNNNNNNNNNNNNNNNNNNNNNNNNNNNNNNNNNNNNNNNNNNNNNNNNNNNNNNNNNNNNNNNNNGGACGCGAAAGCAGGAUCCGUCGGUUGAAAAGUAACGUUUCCCAAAAAAUAAAUGAAAAACUCUGAGGUUAGGACAGUGCGCCAUUUGUCGCAAAGUGGGAAGGAUCUUUACAAAGAGUACUUUUUAAUUUGUUAUUUCGGCCGUUUGCACCUCGUGAAACUCACUUGGGCCGUAUUAUUGUUUUUUUUAUCACAGGCCGAUUAUUGCUGCUUGCUUCUCCCUCAACAUCCCCCAACAGCCCAAUAACACCCUCAGAAGGAAAACAUCCCCCAACAAUCCGGCGGCGGCUUCUUGGUCAGUUGGUCUUCCCCAAAACCAGACCAGAGCUCCAAUCGCCGCAUGGAGUCGGGCUCUGAUGACGGGAGCAACAGCAGCAGCUGCCCCCCCGGCAUCGCGGCCUUGCGCUCAGUUACUGGUAAUUAAUAGCCUUCUACUCGAACUCGUCCCCGAACCAUCUGUAGAGCUCCUCCAUCUGUUGUGGGCCGGGGGCAAACGGCGUUAGGGUUGCAGCAGUUUUGCGAGCACCUUUUGCUUUCCUUCCUACUUGUAGGUCGCCGCAUUGUUUGGUUCAGUCUACGGAAUGUACUGGGUUGUGAUACAUAUGCUUGUACGGUUCUUGAUCUGUGGUGGAAAUGUGGAAUAAUGUUUCUCCGAGAACAUUAUCUGGUGAUGGAACAUGCCUCCUGUCUCCGAUAGGAUUUUCAUAUGAUGGGAUGUUUCCCUCCCCCUAAGAUUGCUGCUAUGGUGGAAUAUGGCGGUCUAAGAAAAAUUUACCCACACGGAUUGCAGGUACUGCGGCUGGUGGAAAGAACAAGUCUGCACGAAGUCGUAGGCAGAGAGUGACUACUGAUUUAAGCAUAUAUUCAGACCUUUCCUGCCGCUGGGCACCCGCCCCACCUCGGCUCCAGGGGGUUCUCCAAAAGGAUUCAGCUAAGGAGCUUGGGCAAGCCUGGGCCAAGUUUUUCCAUGCCAAUGGCAUNNNNNNNNNNNNNNNNNNNNNNNNNNNNNNNNNNNNNNNNNNNNNNNNNNNNNNNNNNNNNNNNNNNNNNNNNNNNNNNNNNNNNNNNNNNNNNNNNNNNNNNNNNNNNNNNNNNNNNNNNNNNNNNNNNNNNNNNNNNNNNNNNNNNNNNNNNNNNNNNNNNNNUUCCUGGGGAGAAAGCCGACUGCCCGCAUUUCCAAGAGGCCAUGAGAUUGACGCAACAACUUGGUCAGCUGGUUCAGCACGUUCCUACAGGUUCAGAAAUUGAUGGGCCAUGCCUGCAGUCCGAGUAUGACGAAUUGGAGGAGCAUGUGGCCGAAUGGAAACGUUGGUGGGGUCAUUAUGGUGUUACGGUGAUGUGUGACUCAUGGAUAGGACCUACUGGGUCAAGCAUCGUGAACUUCAUGAUCUCCUGCGAUAGGCGCAUGUUCUUUCACAAGUCUGUUGAUGCCACUGGAAGCAUGCAGAGUGUUCCGUAUCUCUAUGAAUUGAUUAAGAAGGUGGUUGUGGAGGAGAUUGGGCAAGGCUUUGUAGUUCAAAUUGUGACACAAAAUGAACCAAACUUCAAGGAAGCAUGCGGGCAACUCAUCAAGGAGUACCCACACAUUGUUUGGCAGCCAUGUGCAGCUCAUACUGUUAAUCUCAUGCUGAUGGACAUUGGAAAUAUCCCCAAGGUUGACGCGGUGCUCUCCAGUGCCAAGCGGAUAUGUAGGUUUUUCUACAGUUAUUCUGAACCUCUGCACGCUCAAAUGAAAACUAAGAUUGGUGGAGAGCUGAUCCCACCCAAUGCCGCAAGGUUUGGAACUGACUUUAUGUGCCUACAAAGUUACUGGGAUAACAAAGACAAGCUCAGACAGUGGAUGAUCUCGAAUGAGUGGGAAGACGGCCCUUGGAGUAGGGAGGCAGAUUAUGAUUACACAUAUGACUGCUUGAUCAGCUUGUCCUGGUGGGAAGAUGUGAAAUGGGUACUAGAUAGAAUCCGACCACUUUACGCCGUACUUCAGCACGCGGAUUCACCCAAGACUUGGUCAAUUUCUGGAUUUAUGCCUAGAAUGAUUGCUGCUAGGGAUGAAUUACAAUCUCUUUUCCUGGAGGGGUCAGAAGAUUUGAACGAUUUCAUGGAUGUGGUUGACAGGAGGGUUGCAGAUCUAUAUGAUGGCACUCUUAUGAUUGCAGGUAAGGACCAUGUUACUGUGUCUCUAAUUUUUAAUGGCUUUCAUCCAUUGUGAAUUUAUCUAACUCUCUUUCCUCUACAGCUGGUGUGCUUGAUCCUGAAGCCCACUACAAGCAUGAUCUUGCAAGCAAUCCAGAUUACAUGCAAGCAUUCACGAUGGCAAUUCAGAAGGUUGCAGACUCACCUGCAAAUGCAGUGGAGGCACUGGACCAGUUCGAAACUUUCCGUUCUUCUAGCGGGAAGUUUGACAAAGAAAUUGCUCGGCGUUGUGCUAGCACAUUGGACCCAGCUUCUUGGUGGUCGUUUUUUGGAGGAGAAAUAAAACUCCUUCAGGGUUAUGCGAUUCGAAUUGUGUCCCAAUGUAUGUCCUCUAGCAGGUGCGAGCGAAACUGGAGCACAUAUGCAUUGAUGCAUGCACAAGCGACAAAUCAGCUUGCUUGUGAAAAGCUUCACAAGUUGGUCUAUGUCCGAUACAAUCUUAACCUGCAGUUCGAACAAACUAAAAUAGAGAACGAAGAAAAGGAUGACAAGGGGAAAAAAGAGCUCGAUCCUUGCAGAUUGAUGAUGGACGCUGCACUAUAUGAUAAAGAAAACCCUAUCAUGGAUUGGCUGAAUAACCCCGGGAGUGCAUCCUUGACUUCACUGGAUGAAAAAGAUGAAUGUGAUCUCCCUACACCAUCUAGGGCCGUGAUUGGUAUGAUAUGCAAAGGGAAAUCAAGUGAGGCUGUCCUUGACAAGCCAACCGGGGUUUUGGAAUUGAAGAAGAACCGCACCCUCUCCAGCAGGAAGCAAAAGAGGAAAAGGGGGAAGAUGACUAUUGAUGAUAAUGGUUCGUUGCACGGAAUGUCUACUAGGAAAAAGACGAAGGAUCUCUCCAGCCUCUAGCCUUUUGCUGGUAAGAAAUUAUGUUUAGAAGUUGCCAGCAAAGCGGGUUGCUACAAAUGUUAGUAUUCAAAUUUCUCUGUUCGACUUCAGCAAGUAUUAGCUGAUCUAAAUCAAGUGCCAACCUAACACUCGUGGCAUAUUUUGUUGAUUUCUUCUUUAGGUUAAUCUGUCAUGGAUAACCUUUGGAUGUUGUCAAUGGUGGCUAUUCAGAUGGAUCCAGCAUUAGCUAAGAGCUGGGGUAGAACGGAUGGCCAGUUCUGAAGCGCAAGAGCCUGAAAUUCAGAUGGAUCUUAGGGCUGUGAUAUGUUGCUGAUUUCGAACUCCCGAUGCUGCAUGCCAACUUGUGAUUUGUAAUGACCUCUCUAAUCUUCUGCAUGUUGUAAGAUGCUACGUUAGGUGGUGCCUUUUGAGAAAUGUUCUAAUGGUCGCUGGCUAUCUUGUUUAAUUUCCAUGACGCCUGUCGUUCUGCGUGCUCUGGAAUCUCUUAUCAACGGUGCUAAAAAAACCACACCCGCUGUUUAUGAACAGAGAUAGUAUAUCUUUAGGCAUAAAUGUUCUAUCAAUCCCCUUUUCUUGUCACUAACGUGGGAAUUCAUGUGCUUUCAGAGGGACCGUGCCCCUGAAGUUUGCUUCGAUAACAUAUACAGUAGAUUAUUUGUUUGAUUGUAUUCCACUUUACGCCAAGAAAAACAUGCAGCAACAUAAUCCAGUUGACAAAACUGGAAAAAUGAAUUUGUCCUUGUAGAUAUCAAGUGGUAAUACAAGAGCACAUGUACAUAUGCACAGCCAAGAUCACUUCGCAUGGCAAGGGAGAAGGAUGCUGGCUUCGGUCCAAAAACUGUACACAACACAACCGAGCCCAACAUCCUACAUACAGUCUAGUGAUCAAAGGGAACCUAUGUCUAACAAUAGCAUGCUUUGCGUUAGCAGGAAUCUUGACAUUGCUCCAAAGAUCAAGCUCCAAACAGGAAAUCAUCAAGAAAUACCAACCUCGCUGUUCUCAGAUCCGGGUUCGUUUUAGUCUUCAAGAAGGAUCAACUUUGCCGAUGUCGGCACCGGUCUUCGCCCGUGUGGUGUACAAACCCUACUAUGUGUCUGGGUGUCACGUGUACAAACCCUACUAUGUGUCUGGGUGUCACGCUCUUCAAACCAAAACCGGAAUGUUAAAGCUUGCGCCAAACUCCAUUCAUGGGAAACUCAUGUAGCUGUUGACUAACGUUUUCGCUGGGAUCACAAUGGUCUUGCUGAGCACGAACAGCACAAGGGUUAGCUCGAGCAUCAGGAUCGUGUUGAGGAAUGUCCGGUCGACAAUCCAACCGUAUAGCGUGAUGCCCCCAGGGUUGGUUAGCAGAUAGAGCACUGCAGUACAUCAGAGGAGAAGAAAAUGCAUGAGUAUGGUAGGAAGGAAAAUAAAAUAAUAUGCAUGUACUGCUAGCAUAAAAAGAAAUAGCAACAGAACUUGAAGGAAGCUUUAAAGCGAGGAUUAUCAAUGCAAAAUUUAAAGGAAGCAUUAGCUUACUAACCAAGCGAUUCUCUCUUGUGGUAUGAAGACAUGUAAGAUGCCAGUUGAGCUGUGUUAUGAGAAUUGCCUUGCAUUGAGCCACUUUCCAUACACUCCAAGUCACUUUCCGAGCAAUCCCUCAAAAACAUAUGCGCUGGAAAGGGCACAAGGUUCCCAGAAUCGUUUGGGGUGCUUACAUAUGUAGAAUCACUAGAGCAUGUCGCCAAAGCAUGCCAUCGACUAGCUAUUGCGGCAAUGUUUUGAGCUCUGUGAGAAAUUUUAGCAGCUCCAUGUAAACAAAGGACAAGGCCUACAACUUGAACAACUGAAGAUACCUGCAGCAGAAAACAAAUAUGUUUAUGAUCUGAUGUUUUUUACACCACACACAGAAGGGGAAGUUUAUGCCGUUGUUGGAGUAAACGGACAUAUGAUACUCACAGCUAUAUCACCACCAUUGGUGAAAUUGAUUGGCCCGUUGUAUGCUGUUGUCUUGUAGAGAAUGGCGAACUGGCUUGCUGUAACAGAAAAGAAGAGCAGCAAAAGGAACAUGCGGAACCUGUGACUGAUUUUGGAGAGAUUAUGGCGGAGCUGCAGGUGCUCUUUCAAAUAGACUAGAGGAUCCGCGUCUUGCUCUAGAACUUUGCCGUAAUCAUCAAAGUGUAUAACUUGUAGAUUGCAAACCAAGUUGAAAAGCAUGCAGGAAGACAACACAAUUGUGGUCAAAUACAUCCAUGACAUUAUGGAAGCAAAUAGCACGAUGCAUGAUCUCCAAAUUGACUCGUGGAACAUGUGGGAAAAGCGGAACAUCUCUCGGGUAAUCUUCACAGCAAGGCAUGGCAAUAUCCACCACAUAAGUGUUCGGAAGAAGUCCUGUCAUUGGGGUCGCAGCACUUGUUAACACAAAAAACGAAUGACAAAACUCCUACACAUUAUGAGUAGUGAAUGAUGGUUCCGGUGAUCCAGUCCUAGUCACCGAAUUCCACAAUUCAAAUUUCCACUAGAAAUAAUACCUAAAAUUCAAGUUUCUUUGCACAAAGAACUUAACUAAAUACUCCCUGGUGUAAAAAAAAGUCUUAUAUUUUGAUAUAGAGGGAGUAUAUGAGCAUAGGCUAAUCAAACAGACAUGUGGCACAAACAUAAAACUGCUAGUUAAGGACAGACCCAUGAAUCCACACACCCAUGACCCCGCUCACAUGCCGACACGAGCAGGCACAUGCUGACAUGCAUAUACAACAUAUAUAACCGAGAAUUGAUCACCUCGGUACGACCUUAAGUAAGGACAGACCCAUGAAUCCAGGGCGGCAGGAAUAUAUAUUAAAAAGGGUGUACAAAAAAGGAUCCAGACAGGAUUUUUCAGUAGGCUAGCAGAUGGGCUGCAAUAAGCCAGCUCCUGAAACCUGAAUCUAAGCAUAAUCUCACAUCCAUAGCCUCAAAAUUCCCCUUGUACUGUCUCCUCCUGAAUCCAAGCACCUGAUUUCACUUAAUUUAUCAUUCGCUUGCACUGUGUUUUGACAAAAAUGGCGCGGAGCACUGUUGCACUUGUCCAUCAACUAGCAAGUAACAAGAAAUUGAUCCGAAUGCUCGCUGUGAAAAUGAAUCCAGGCAAGUUCAAUUUCUCGUUUCACAGCUAAAUUAGGACACCAAAGCUCACACAAAAAUUCCCCCAAUGAACAGGCCAAAUGGAAAAGUUACUAGGCAUUCAUCCGCAAGUCAUGGAAGAAUACGCCAAAAUUGAGCUGCGAGAUAGCACCUGGAUCCUGACGACGUACUCCUUCUGGAAGCGGAUCCGCAUGCCAAGCUCCGGGUCAACGAAGAGGAACUUGCGGAGGCCGUACAUGGCCAUCUUCCUCGACACGCAGGCGACGGCGACGGCCGCCGCCGCCGCCUGCGACAUCAUGACGCACACCUCGAACAUCUCCACCUCAAACUCUUCGCAGACCCGCUCGCGCUUGCGGCACGGGGAGACGCUCACGGCCACCGCAGGCAGCGCGACGCCCACCACCGCCAGCGCGGAAGCCGCGAAGGCCACGCCAAGAGGGGUCGAGGCAGAGAGGCCCGACACCGCGAGGAACGCCUCCAGCCGCCGGAGCCACCGCGCCAGCGGCGCGUCUGCAUCAGCGAGCGAGAGCAGCGGCACGGAGAUCGCCAGGUGGUUCUCCGAAGGCGCGCGAUUCGAAGGCCUGCUCAGCGACGGGGGCAGCGGCGGCGGCAUGGGCGGCGGGGACGGCGCUCCGGCGAGGCGGUCGCCGUUGGCCAUGGGCGGGAAGGGGAGGAAGCAGGGGGGCACGCACAGGUGUAAAGUAAAAAUAAGGCGGUCGGAAGGCAGGGACGAGGAAGUGGGCCCUUUUAUUCCGUUCGCGAGCACGUGGGGCCGCUCCAGUGAGCCCACAUGUCGGCGGGGGAGCGGGUUGGAGUGGCGAGGGAGCGAAGAGUUCUGUGCUUUGGCCUCCGGCUCCGGGUAUCUCCCGUGCUGUGGUGUUGCGUGCGACGCCGGGGAGGUGCGGGGACACGUGGCGGGGAUCCCGGGAAGGUUUAGGUGCCUUUGCAAAGUGCCUUUCGAUUUUGCGUGUGAAGGAUGCCACAAAGGUUCCACAUGGCUGGCUACGGUUCGUAGCCUCACGGACAGGGAGCGAAAUCGAAUUUUAUUUUAAAAAAUUUAUAAGAGCAACCCCAGCACGUAAAUUUUUCCGCUUUUUAUCCGCUUGGAUCGGCGGGCCGCCCAACGUCCGUACUGUUUUAGAUUUGGAUCGACAAUGCGUCCAACGUCGCCGAUCCAUUUCAUGUCCGCAAUCAACAUAUUAAAAAAAAGGGUCCCUGGCUAAUCAUUGCCAGCGGCCAUGUUUCAUGCCAUCGCCAUGCCAGCGCGAGCAUACAAUGCCGGCUUCAAAAAAUAGCACCAUAGUUCAUGUUGGCGCGCUCGCCAGCCGGCCGGCACACAUGCCAGCAUACAAAAAAGGUGGGACUUGAGUUCGACCAAGCCAUUGCGGCCCCCGUGGUCAUCCCAGCACACCUGCCAGCAUCGAAGCCAGCGGCCUGCACACCACCCUCGAAGAUCAUGUUCUGCAUGUAGUCUUCGUCACCGGCGGCCGGCAUUCCGUCGAACAGGUUGCGUGCGCCCGACAGCUGGUCGGCUGGCGUUUGCUGCGCGAGUUUCCUCGCGCCUCCGGAUGACGAGCCACCGGCCACCGCUCUGGCGCUGAGGUCGAUGGUCGCGGGCGCGGGCGUGGAAGGCGCGACCACGCUCACCUCGGGCGAGCACUCCCCCGAGAGGCGGGAGGCCUGCGGGUAGACGUAGAAGCCGGGCACCGGGUUGCAAGCUGACGCGCGGGGCGAGUUGGUCAACAGCGUCCGAGGGAAGGCGGAUGAGCCGAUGCUGACCGCGGCGGCCACAUCGGCAUUGACGAGGCCGUGCUGGCUAGGGUUUAACCCCAACAUGCAGAGCGCCUCCCUCGUUGCCGCCGCGACAUGGACAUUGUUGACCUGCUGUUGCGUGGCGGCCACCGCGAUGGCUUCAUCCCUCGCGCCCGCCGCGUGCCUCCGGUCCUUCCUCUUGGCCGACUCCUUUGCCCGCUGUUCGGGCGUCAACACCUUCUUCGACUUCGGCGGCGGCCUUCUGGGAGUGUUUUUUUGGGGGAAAUGGGGGGGGGGGGGUGGGUGGGGNNNNNNNNNNNNNNNNNNNNNNNNNNNNNNNNNNNNNNNNNNNNNNNNNNNNNNNNNNNNNNNNNNNNNNNNNNNNNNNNNNNNNNNNNNNNNNNNNNNNNNNNNNNNNNNNNNNNNNNNNNNNNNNNNNNNNNNNNNNNNNNNNNNNNNGGGGGGGGGGGAUGGUUGUGGAUGCCAUCGACCGACGAGCUUGGGGAGAGGAGCAGGCGCGCGCGUCCGUCUCGUGUCCGCACCGACGCAAAUCCAUCCUGAAAUUGGACCGGGAACGGGUCGCCAAGCGAACGCCAAGCGAACGCGCGUUCGUUUGGGUCGGCGCGUUGGGCCGACUUUUGUGUCUAUGCCGACCCAAACGGACGGCGACGUAUAAAGUAAGUCACCGUAUUGGAGAUGCUCUAAAGAGUCAGAAGAAUACGCGUAAUUUUACGCAAGCUAAAGAUGACAUUANNNNNNNNNNNNNNNNNNNNNNNNNNNNNNNNNNNNNNNNNNNNNNNNNNNNNNNNNNNNNNNNNNNNNNNNNNNNNNNNNNNNNNNNNNNNNNNNNNNNNNNNNNNNNNNNNNNNNNNNNNNNNNNNNNNNNNNNNNNNNNNNNNNNNNNNNNNNNNAGCUAAAGAUGACAUUAAAUGGGUAUGGUUUAAACUCACGGUUAUGUAUUGGGUUUAAAUUGAUUUCGGUGUAAAAAAUAAUCGGUUUUGGUUUUGGUUGAGCUAAAGAUGACAUUAAAUAGGUAUGGUUCAAGUGUGGUUUUGAAAAAUAAAUGAACGGGUAUGGUUCAAGUAUGAUUUAGAUAUAAAACCAUUCUCAGAUUUACGCCCACCUAGACGUGUCUUCUCAAAAUAAACAUUUCUUUCUUUGUCUACAUUAUCAAAGCAAUGAGUUAAUCAAUUUUCUCAAUGGUUGAGUCUGGGUCAUGUGCUCGCUCUCAUGACGAGUGUGCCGGAUCUCGAGUCAAAGCAGAUCCCAUUUGACAAAACAGAAUGCAACAUACUGAAAAUAAUAUCCGCUAAGGAUCAACCAUGUUUGAUUGGUUCCUUCACCUCACGAACCUGCAAGGAUCCGGACUCCAAGAAAGGAUCACUCAGCUUUGGCAGCGAUGAACCACACACGGGCAUGCCUUCAGUCGAGGGAAACACAUUCAUUUAGCCAUCAUUACGUAUGAUUUCGAUGUACGAAGUAUUCCAAUUGACGUGUGUUGCUGGUAACAUCAAUUUAAUGAACAAAAAAAUUGACCUCUGAUGCGGGGAAGAGCAUCUACAAUCGGACGGCCUCAUUUAUCCUUCCAGAAUUGCAUUUCUUGUAUUCAAAUUCUUAAAUUAAUGCAAAAAACCAUGCAUGUCCAUAAUAUAAUAUCACAAAUCUAACAAUUGAACAAAAUAAAAUAAACCACAAUUCAACAAUUCAAUACAUGCCAAAAUAAAAAUUCAAUAAUUUAUGGAUAUACAAGAAUAAAUCAUUUGCCUCUUGUUUUGGGCACGUUGAUCCCUUUCUUUUUAACUUUGAACCACUCUGGCCUUCCUCAUUCAAGAUGCUAGCGUCACUCAACACGAUCCUGGUAUCCUCUGUUCCGAUCAAGCUUCAACACCCCUCUCUCUUUCUCUCUCUCUCUCUCUCAAAAUCAAUUGAACUCAGUGUCUUUUAGCCUUCUCGAGCCCCAUUUUGCCUAUUUCUCUUCUUCUUCAAGUCCAUCUUAUUCGUCUCAAGGCUUAACUUCUCUUUCACCCUCUCCUGGUCAAACUCCAUCCUCUCCCAUUGCACAUCCAAGAAAAGUUUGUCCCCUCCUCCUUCUCCUUCUUGAUAGAAAAAAAUGUCCAUCCAUGUGACGGACAUAUGUGAUCUCCUACAAAUGAAGCUAACAAUACAAAUGAUGACAAUUUGAAGCAAGUCAAACUUACAUGACUUUGGACUCCAAUGCCACUUUGGUUAUGGCCAUCCAAAUGUGAAAACUAACCGCAAAACUUGUUGACGCUCUCUUGGAUGAUGGACCAUCAUGGCUUGUGAAUGUCAGACCUCUUCCCUUUGGUUGCUUUUUUUUUGUAGUGCCCAAUGUUUGCUCAACAUCAUACAUUGGGGAAUUGCUAUCACCUGCAUCAUAAUGCAUACACUCUUGAUCAUCAUUGAUCAAGUCCAUCAUGAAUGCGUCCUAAAAUUAGCAUCACAAUUAAACUAGUGGAAUUUGCAACAAAUAGAUCCAAUUGCAUAUGCAAAAUUGAUCCCUAAGUUGAUCAAAUGGCAUAUGCACAAACAAGCAAAGCAAUACAAUGGCAUAUGGGGCAAGAAUGUCCCCUGUCUUGGUCGGGCAUUUCGUCGAACAUGACAUGGGUAUACUCGGCGCUCGUGUUUCCAUACGUUGGCCGCAACCAUUAGAGUUGCGGCAAAUUGUGCACUAUCUCCGUUGCACCCUCUUGCAUCCAGCCACCCGGGAGGCCCGCCCAUCCGAAUGGAGGAACAAAGUUGAUCGCCGACUGGGUGGACAUCAUGGGCAGGGCGGGCGCGCGCGCGCGCCGGAGCACACACAUCCAAGUCAAUUUGGACGGUCUCCUUCUCCGCAGUUUUCUAAGCACGUUGCUCCCUCUGAGCGGCAUUCUGCCUUGCAAGCAACCACGAUAAGGACCCCUCACAAACUUCGCCGAGGAAUUCUCUAUGACGGUAGGGGGGGAUGGGGUACUCAAGUCAUCAUCGAACGAGGACGACAACGAAAAUCACACUGCAGACAAGGACGAUGACACAUAUGGGAAGAAAGCAUGGAGGAGAGCGAUGACUCACAUGCGGGAAAGGGAGUACAUAUAUGGAGGAGGACGGUGUUGGAAAUAUGCCCUAGAGGCAGUGAUAAAUAGUUAUUAUUAUAUUUCCUGUUUAAAGAUAAUCCUUUAUUAUCCAUGUUAUAAUUGUAUUGAAUGAAAACAUAGAUACAUGUGUGGAUACAUAGACAAAACAAUGUCCCUAGCAAGCCUCUAGUUAGCUAGCCAGUUGAUCAAGGAUAGUCAAGGUUUUCUGACUAUGUGCAAAGUGUUGUUGCUUGAUAACUGGAUCACAUCAUUAGGAGAAUCAUGUGAUGGACUAGACCCAAACUAUGAACGUAGCAUAUUGAUCGUGUCGUUUUAUUGCUAUAAUUUUCUGCGUGUCAAGUAUUUGUUCCUAUGACCAUGAGAACAUAUAACUCACUGGCACCGGAGGAAUACUUUGUGUGCAUCAAACGUCACAACGUAACUAGGUGACUAUAAAGGUGCUCUACAGGUAUAUCCGAAGGUGUCCGUUGAGUUAGUAUGGAUCAAGACUGGGAUUUGUCACUCCGUAUGACGGAGAGGUAUAUCGGGGCCCACUCGGUAAUACAACAUCACACACAAGCCUUGCAAGCAAUGUGACUAAGUGUAAGUCAUGGGAUCUUGUAUUACAGAACGAGUAAAGAUACUUGCCGGUAACGAGAUUGAAAUAAGUAUGCGGAUACCAACGAUUGAAUCUCGGGCAAGUAACAUACUGAAGCACAAAGCAAAUGACAUACGAGAUUAUAUGAAUCCUUGACACUGAGGUUCAACCGAUAAGAUCUUCGGAGAAUAUGUAGGAUCCUAUAUGGGCAUCCAUGUACCACUAUUGGAUAUUGAUCGAGGAGUACCUCGGGGCAUGUCUACAUAGUUCUCGAACCCGCAGGGUCUACACACUUGAGGUUUGACGAUGUUUCAGUAUAGUUGAGUCAUAUGUGUGGUUACGGAAUGUUGUUCGGAGUCCCGGAUGAGAUCACGGAUGCCACGAGGGUUUCCGAAAUGGUUCGGAGACGAAGAUUGAUAUAUAGGAUGACUUCAUUUGGUUACCGGAAGGUUUUCGGGCAUUACCAGGAUUGUACCGGGAGUGACGAUUGGGUUCCGGAUGUUCACCGGGAGGGGGGCAACCCACCCGGGGAAGCCCAAAGGACCUAGGGGUGGCGCACCAGUCCUUAGUGGGCUGGUGGGACAGCCCAAAGGGACCUAUGCGCCAAGAAAGAAAAACCAAAGAAAAGGAAAAAAGGAAAGGUGGGAAGGAAGAGAAGGACUCCACUUUCCAAUCCUAGUUGGACUAGGAUUGGAGUAGGACUCCUCCUCCUCCCUAGCCGGUGCACCCUUGAGGGCUUGGACCUCAAGGAAAGCCUCCUCCCCAUCCCUCCUAUAUAUAGUGGUGAUUUACGACUGAUUUGAGACAACUUUUGCCACGUGCAACUCAGAUCUAGACACCAUAGUUUUUCCUCUAGAUCGUAUUUCUGCGGACCUCGAGAUUCGUCUACUCAUAAUGUUGCUACCUCGUGUGAUGAAUUACAUUCCUUGCCUUGUUGCUCUAACAAUGAAGCUUACACUUCCUCUAGUACUUGCAUUGACACUAACCGUGCAGAGGAAAUCGAAGAGCUCAAGGCCCAAGUCACUUCUUUAAAAGAAAGACUUGGAACAGUGUCAUGAAGGGAUGUCCACACUCAACAACGUCCUGUGUGAGCAAACAUCUCCGAAUGACAAAAAUUAUGUUGGAGUAAACUCAAACAAGAACUAGAGGGGCCUAGAACAAGUCAAGAAUUCGGCCAAAAUCAUUUGCUUCAAGUGCAAAGUUAAAGGGCACCAUGUUAGAUCUUGCCCUCUGAAGACGAAGUCUCAAAGUCACAAGCAACAAGGGAAGCGGCCACAAACUCAAUCACAUAUUCAGCUACAAGUUGAAGGAAGGCCUCUUCCCUAUAAGACCCAAGCCAACACUCCCCGAGGUGAGAAAUCAACUGGGAAGAAAGCAAAGGGUAGAUGUUGCUACUUAUGUCGUGAGAAGGGUCACGUCGCUUCGUCUUGCACAAGAGGUAACUUAUCCAACCCAAUCACUAUUGAUGAUAUCUAUUCCCUUGGGAAGGAUAAGGUUGGCAAUGUGUUUGCCAAGUUUGUUGGUACUCAAAAUGGUGUCAAGAAAAGAACCAUUUGGGUUGCCAAGCCUAUUGUGAUUAGCCUCUUAGGACCCAACGUAGUUGGGGACCAACAAGCUCAAACUUGAUCAAUAGGUGACUAUGGAGGACAUUAGAGACUUGGAUACAUAAUGAAGAAUUAAGGGGUCUUCAUCAUUCAUAUUAUCUCAAGCCAAGUCAGUUGGAUUAUCGAGUUUCUAUCUUAUAUCCAAUGUGCCUCCUUACGGUAACUUGUACUUAAACUGUUUACAUUGUUAGGUGCUUGCCCCUUUGCAUGUUGUGGUUUUGUACCUUGCAUACGUUUGUAUAUGUUGUGCUUCCAACUUUCUUAUCUUGAGUAAUCGAGUAUGUGUAUGUUGGUUUGCAUAUCAUGUACAUGUGGGUCUUGUAUUGAGCCUUUUGCAUCUUGUUUGUAUUUUUGUUGGCUCUUGUGAGAGACUAAUGGAUUAUCCCAUUGUGGGGGAGUGAUGUGCUUUGCACACCUCACAAUCCUAUAAAUGUGUAUACAUGGGGAAUACCACUUAGUUUUGAUAUUUCAAGAUUAUCUAAUUUCUAUGUGGUAUGUCUUACUCAUGAGAAAUUCAAAUUCUAUAUGGUCCAUUAAUUAUCUCUUGUUGGUUUCAAUUUGCCACUUGUUAAUAUUGUUGGUUUAUCACAGUAUGGGGGAGUAAUAUGCUAUGUGCAUAUUACAAACCUAGAAAAUGUGUACAUUUGAGGUGUUGCCACUUAGUGUUGAUAUUGUAAAUUAUCUUGUUCCUAGGUGGCAUGUUAGAUCUACAAGUGUCAUUUGCUUGCGUUUUAUGGGUAAAGAUGAUCUUGGAUAUAUUUGCUAUCUACCAAUGAGUAUCACUUCCAAAAUACUUCUUGUCCUUGACAAUUGGUAUUCCCAUCAUGUGAUAGGAAUUGCUAAUCGUCUUUACAUUGGAUUUUGUGUUUCGUUUGUCUUCCUUGCCUCUUAUGGAUCUAUUUUAACAUGUCUAGUGUUUUUAUAGAUAUAGAGAAUGUGAUGAUCCCAUCGUGUGCAUUUUGUAUUUAAAUGCAAAUUCUAUAUAAUGCACGUCCCUUGGGGGAGCUAUUCUAUUUUCUUUAGAACACUCUCUUUAUUCACCCAUCAUAAAAUCUUUUGAUCCCCAUCAAGUGUGUGUUGAUGGGAGGCAAGUCUUGCUCUUUAUGAUGCUUUGUGCCAUCAUGAAAAUUUGUCGAGGGCUUGGUUUGUUGGAACCUAGCUCUCUUUUGGAAAUUAGAUACCUCGUGUUUGUUUUCCUUCAAUUGGUUCCUUGUUUCCUUUUAUUUGGCAUGUGUCAAUGGAUAUCUCAUUCCUUGAGGUAUCUUUUAAUUGAUAUCCUUCAAGUGAUAGUUCUUUUUUUGUUUAAGAUCUUAUUAUCACUUGGUACCUUGUCUUUUGGUGACUUAUCAACUUUGUGUUGAGUUGAUUCUUGAAAGUCUUGAGCAUUCAUAUCUACUAUAUACAACUUCUUUUGCUUGCUUUCCUUCUUUGACCCAAUAUAUAGGGGAAACUCCACCUUGUCAUAAAUUGGCUAAAUUGUGCAUGAAAUUCAAAUUCAUAUCUAUAUGCGCAUAUGUAUGUGGAGUUUGUCCUAUGUAUUGCUGGUUUUCUAACUCUUUGGUCCCAAUGAGUUUGGGCACCAUUUUGUUUGUUUUGCUGUUCUAAGAACAACUGGAGAUGCAUUGGGUGCUCGGCUCACCUAUAAGGAAGGUGUUGAGACCAUGUGAUUAUUGGAGCCAAGUUAGGAUGAUCAAAGAACAACUAUCUACUACAUCAAUCCAAUGUUGUCUCGGUAACAAGUAUCCACUUCAUGCAUUCUUUUGUUGCAAAGGCCCAAACCUGUCUUUUCUUUUCGAGGUUGCAUCAUGGCAUGAAUCUCUUGAUUCGUUCUUGUAGUACUUGUUUGCUUUCUCAAAGCAUCCGAACGAUGAUGUCUUACUACUAGUUGGGAUGUCUUUGAUGUUCGUAUGUUGGAAGUUCAUAUUGUACAAUAAGAAAAUAUUAGGCCAUGUGCUAUGCUUCCAAGCAAAAGAUCUCGUUGAUAUAUUUAUGACUUCCUUUUGGAUAUCUAGUUUGUUCCUUCUUGUAACCAUUUCGUGUGUAUAUCCUUCUUUGUGGAUAUAUAUCAUCAUGAUUGUCUUCUACUUAGAAUCUUUUACACAUGAGAGAAGUUACAUCUCUAAUUGAUAUCCUCUUUUCUUUCACGUCCAUCGUUGCAUUUCCUUUUUCAGUUUUUGGUGGCUUCGUGAAAGGAUUUGUUUUGAGUGCGUAUCUUAUUUUCCUACAUCUUGAUGCACUCUUUGGCAGUGAAGAUUAUUUUUCCUCAUGCUUGUCUUGAUGAGGGUUUUGCCAUUUCAAUUAGUAUCCCUCCUCUUGACAAGGUUCUUACUUCCUAUCUUCACAAUGGAUUGUCACAAGUGUUGGUUCUUAUUUUGUUUAUUAGUAAGCUUGUGAACCCAUUUUCUACUAUGUGUGUGUGGGAAUGAUAUGUCUUGCACUUUGUAUCUCAUUUCAUCAAGACUAUGUUGAUGAGUAAUGCUCAUCCUUAUCUUAGUCUUCUCAAGUGCUUUGCCAUGACUCACACACAUUAUUUUGGUUGAGCCUAUUCUUAAGUUGCUUCUUUUACAUGUUGCUCAACCAUUUGUUUUGUGCAAUUGAUAUGCUUAUUGUCUCAUCUAUCUUCUUGCACUCGUUGUGUGUUUUUAUUCAUUUUGGGGGAGCAACGAUCCUAUUUUGUGCACCUGUAUCAAAUACAAAAAACUCGUAUUAGUGCACAAAUCAUGGGGAGCUUCUCUAGUUUUUGAUAAAACACUCUGUUGCCUUUAUCAUAAUAUCUUCUAUUCAUGUGGUUCGAAGGACCAUAUGAUUGUUUGUUCCACCUGGAAUCUUUUGAUUGCUUGCCUCUAUUUUUGUAUGUCUUUGUGGCAUACGAUCCUUUUAUUUGCAAUCUUUGGGUCCUCAAUAUAGUUUGUUUUCCUCCAACUACUUAUCAUUGUAUUUGUGUAUUUAUCUGCACUCAUUUGCUGAGAAAUACACACUUUUUGGAGGACCACCUACUAUAUUGGCUUUCUAAACUUUUCGUCCAUUUUGGCAAUCGAUGCCAAUGGGGGAGAAGUUUAGAGAGUUUACUUUGGAUAUGUUUAGAGGGUUUUGCUUUUAUUGCGUAAGCAUUUACAUCUUGCACGCAUGCCUUAUUACCUUGUAUGUGUGCGCUUGGUUAUGCUUAUUUCCUUAUAUAAACUCUCUUGAAGUGGUUGUCUUCAAUUACCAAAAUGGGGGAGAUUGUUAGAUCAUAUAUCUCCAUGUGUGGUUUUGGUAAUUGAUGACAAUUCCUAUGGACUAAUGGUUGCCUUAAGUUAUAUUUAUAGGUUUUGUCCAUAGGCACUUCUNNNNNNNNNNNNNNNNNNNNNNNNNNNNNNNNNNNNNNNNNNNNNNNNNNNNNNNNNNNNNNNNNNNNNNNNNNNNNNNNNNNNNNNNNNNNNNNNNNNNNNNNNNNNNNNNNNNNNNNNNNNNNNNNNNNNNNNNNNNNNNNNNNNNNNNNNNNNNNNNNNNNNNNNNNNNNNNNNNNNNNNNNNNNNNNNNNNNNNNNNNNNNNNNNNNNNNNNNNNNNNNNNNNNNNNNNNNNNNNNNNNNNNNNNNNNNNNNNNNNNNNNNNNNNNNNNNNNNNNNNNNNNNNNNNNNNNNNNNNNNNNNNNNNNNNNNNNNNNNNNNNNNNNNNNNNNNNNNNNNNNNNNNNNNNNNNNNNNNNNNNNNNNNNNNNNNNNNNNNNNNNNNNNNNNNNNNNNNNNNUAUUAUCCAAAGAAUGGCCAUAGAGACACUAGGUUGAUCAAGAUCUCAGACAAAGAGUAAAUCAAGAUGAUCAACACACAAAGCGUAUAAGAUGUACCGAGAGGGAUCAAGUGAUCCCAUGGUAUGGUAAGCAUUGUCCAUUACGUGUUUGUGUACUAACCCAUGGUCUUUGUGAGAGUCCUAUGUGGGGGUUAGGUGUGCUUCCAUGGGCUUGCGUCAAAAGGAAGAUCUCAUACAACCCAUGAAGGAUGACGUCAAGUGGUGAUCGUCAUGAAGAUUGUGGUGUGCAAGUUCAAGUGGAUCAGCACGAAUAUAUCAUUGAAACUAUUGUUAAUGAUCAUGUGUUGAUAAGGACAAGCUCAUGUGCUAACAAGGACAAGAUCAAGAUAAGCAUUCCUGAGCACUACAUGCUUGAUUCUUGUGGAUGUUCACAUGGUAGACAAAUGAAGAUGAAUACAUAAGCUAGGCUUUCCACAUUGUGUAUGGGAGAGCUACUUGAAGACUUCAUCAUGUCUUGCUUUCAACUUGAGCCAAGAAGGAACAACAACAUCAAGCUCAAGUGAAAGGGCUAACUCAAAGGUAUCAGUUCCUUUGACGUUAGUGGUGCGGAGUGAUGAUCAACGAAUAAAAGUAUACACUCAAGUAUGGAUCAUCAGUACCCUUUUAUGAUUCUUGAGUCCUUAGGGAUCCCGCACUAUUAAGAGGGGAUCACAAGUUUUGCGAUGAACUUGCUCAAACUACAUCUCCACUAUUCUGCUCAGACCACAUCUCCACUGCUCUGCUGUUAUCUGAAAACAGAACCAGUGCCUCAGACAUCCGGCUUCCUCCGGACGUCCGAGGUCCGGACGACCGACUGCUUCGGAAAUCCGGAAUCCUAUACCAGAGAAAUCAGAGCCAUAUAACUCGGACUUUCGGUUCCCUCCGGAUGUCCGAGGGCCGGACGUCCGCCCCCUUUCGGAAAUCCGGAAUCUUGCACCAUAGAAGUUUGAGUCGAAUAACUCGGACUUCUGGCCUUCUCCGGACGUCCGGUCCCUGUUCAACUCCAAAGUGGUUCCAGAUAUAUUUACAGCCCUCGGACGACCGACCCCUGUCGGACGUCCGACCCCUUGUGGACGCCCGGGCAUCCGUGAACUGCCGGAUGUCCGACCCCCGUGUGACUUAAAGUGUCCCCAACGGCUGUUUUACUCUCCCCACUAUAUAUACCCCCUCCCACUUCGUGAGAGGGGGGCCCAACACAGCCUUAUCCUCAUAAGAACACAUUUCUACCUCACACACAUUUGCUCACACCAAAUCUUAGAUCCCAAGAGCAUUUGUGAGCCCCUUUGAGAGUUAUUCCAAUCAAAAGAUAGAUCGUCUCCCUCUCCUUCUCUCAACCCAAGCUAUUUGAGAUUUGAGCAAGUUUUGAGCAUUCCCCGUGAUCUUGUUACUCUUGGAGGUUGGAGACUCCUAGGCGGUAGGAGUUCUUCGGAGAGGAAUCACUCCAUGUGAUUACCCCCCGGAAAAGUUUGUGAGGGUUUGGAAGCCACCUCAAAGGCUUACCACUAGUGGUUGAGAAACGCCUUCGUGGUGUUAUCUCAAAGGGAGAAUAGGGUGAGCCUUCGUGGCGUUGGUGUGCCUUCGUGGUAACAUCCACCUCUCUAACGGUGACUAGCUUCCCUCCAAGGAAGUGAACAUUGGGAUACAUCUUCGUCUCAGUGACCUUGGUUAUCCUUAACCCUAACUCCUUACUUGUGGUUUACUUGUGUUACUUGAGCAUACAUACAUUGCAUAUUGCUUGUGCUCAUUAUAUUGUGUUGGCUAUUUCUUGUACAAGAUUAAUCAUUCAAGCAUACCUUCUAUAUCCACACGUUCACACUUGCAGCUUUUGAUAUAUCGUGUGUUAUAGUGUGAUCUAGUAUCUUGUGUCGUUCACCUACUUGUCGUGUGAUAUAGCUCAAGUAAGUUUGUGUAACUGUAUUGUGUCCAUCUUGGUAGAUCGUGUUGUUGAUACACGUUGCAGUGCCUAGUGCAUUUAGGAUUUGUGCUUGACAAGUAUCCUCUUAGUUUAUUUCCGCAUUAGGUUUAAGACAAAUCUGAAGAAGUUUUUAAAUAGCCUAUUCACCCCCCCCUCUAGGUGUCAUCGAGGUCUUUUCAGAGCUGUAUGUGUGCUGAAUGCGGAGGUGCCGUCCGUUCGGCACUAGAU